UUUUCCAUCGCUACUACUUACAUAUUGGAGGAUUCUUUGGACAGAACAUGACUCCAGCAAUGAUUGCUAGUGUUGAAACAAUGCUAGAAAAGUGGAAUGGCCAAGAAGGCCAGGAGAUUGAAGUGUUUCAAGAAUUUAGAUUACUGACUUCAGAAGUGAUUUCCAAAACAGCAUUUGGUAGCAGUUACUUGGAGGGGGAGAAGAUUUUUGCCCUGCUGUACAAGUUGAAAAUACUUGUUAGUCGAAAUAUGUCCAAGACUACAAUUCCUUUCAUCAAGUAUGUUCCCUAUAACCUUAGUUAAUCCCAAGUUUUUCCUUUAUUUCAAUUAGCUUUUGAAUGCAAAUUUUGGACUUUUAUUCCCCAUAGCUUUGGUUUUCUCCUUAUAUAUAGCUUACCAUAGUUUGCUUUUCCAGCAAGCUAUGGAAAUCUGCUGAUUUGCUAGAGUCUGAAAAACUUGCAAAAGGAAUACAAGAUUGUGUAAUGAAGAUUGUUAAGAAAAGAGAAGACCAAGUUGUGAAUGGAGAAGCUGAUAGCUUCGGCAAUGAUUUUCUUGGAUUACUUGUAAAUGCCUAUCAUGAUUUGGAUCAGAAAAAUAGGCUUUCAUUGCAAGACCUGGUAGAUGAAUGCAAAACUUUCUACAUUUCCGGACAAGAAACUGUUAAUUCCCUACUGGGAUGGAUAGUCUUGCAUUUGGCAAUCUAUGGAGAUUGGCAAGAAAAAGCAAGAAGGGAGGUGAUUGACAUUUUUGGUAACCAAAAUCCUCAUCUCGAAGGCAUCACCAAACUUAAAACAGUAAGCAAACUAUCUAACCAAGAUAUUAAAUAGCCAUCACAACAUGAUGUAAUCUAACAUAUUUUCUAUUUUGCAAACUGAUGACCAUGAUCAUCAAUGAAACUCUAAGAUUGUAUGGUCCGUCAAAUGGCUUGGCAAGAACAGUUGCAAGAGAAGUACAGUUGGGAAAGUUAGUCUUGCCUGCUAAAUUAGAUAUUCUGCCUCUAAAUAUUGGACUUCACCGUGACCCUCACUUAUGGGGGGAUAAUGUGCAUCUUUUUAAACCAGAGAGAUUUGCCGACGGGAUUGCCAAAGCUACCAAUUACACCGCGGCUGCAUUUUUGCCCUUCGGAUUGGGUCCUCGAUCUUGUGUUGGUAUGACAUUUGCAACAAUAGAAACCAAGAUUGCUCUCUCCAUGAUUCUACAACGUUACACCAUUACUCUUUCCCCUGCCUAUGUCCACUCUCCAAUACUUAUUCUCACCGUUCGACCACAACAUGGAAUUCAAGUAAUAAUUGAACCGCUACAUAAUAAUUUUUGAAUUACAUAGCUAUUAAGAGAUGACAAUUAAUAUAUCUAAGGUUCUAGCUUUUACUACCCCUUCUCUAUUCCUAAGCUAUUCCCACCUUUAUAUAUAAUGAUAUGCAAGUAGCUACCGGUUUCCCAUAUGGUAAAACAUGCAAUCAAUAAAAAAGAAUGUGUUAAGGCAAGUUUUAGGAGUAGUGACUCAAGAUGUGACUGUUACACUUGGCACUACGCAAGCCACAAAAUUUUCCUUAUUGUUGGUAAUUUUGACCCAAAUAUUUUGAUUAUUUUGCUUGCAUCUUUUUUAGAAUUUGAUGCGGUCGUUGAAAGCACAAAAAUAUCUUAUCCCUAAUAAAUAAUGAAAAAGAAUAGUAAAAAGGAAGUUGGGUCAAAUCCUUAGGGACUGGACUUGCAAAAUAUCUUGCUCCGUAAAAUCCUAGGCAAAAUCUUGCCCAAGAAAACUUAGGUGCCUGAAAAAAAUAAAAUAAAAAAAUAACAUAAUAAAAUGUUUGGAUUUGAAAACGAAAAAUAAAAUAAAAACAAAUUUAAGAAUAUUGAAUCUAAAAUUAGAGAAAUUAAAAAUAGAAUUGAGAGAAAAGAAAUUCUUAUGGGAGAUUCCAGCCUCCAGUUGUCUCGUUCCGCCUUGGGUUCAAUCCUCGGCUUUUAGAUGAUCCUUCCCAAACCCAAUAAGCCAGUUAUAGUGGAAGAGGACGCCUACGACCACCAGCUCCAAGGAUUUAGACUUACGAUUUAGUGGAAUUUGACUCUAGCCAACAAUCACUUCUGUGGGAUCGUCUUAUGCUAGAUCAACGCUUCUCAAUGGCAAAUCCCACGCCAUUUUGUCUCUUGGGCUCGCCAACCUCUGACGCAGUAAGCUAACGAACCGACUGUGCAACCUUCCCAAAACAUACAAAGCGGUCAGUGAUUCAGGUGUAUUUUAGGGGGGGGGAGGAUGUGUAGCCUAUAAGCUUGGCACUCAGUGCCCAGGUGUGUUUCUGGAGGGAUGUAUAGCUACAGGCUUGGCACUUAGUGCCCAAGUGUGUUCAUGGAUGGUAUGGCUCGUUUGAGCAACCAUAUGUGUUUUAGGUGGUUACCCAUGUAUUCGUAUUUGUUCAUUAUAGUUCAUCAAGUUAAUGGUUUUUAUAAAUGGGACGUUGGUUGAAUAGUAAUAAAUAUAAUGUGAUAAAUGAUAGAUGAAUGAUGUAAAGUUUGCUUAUGUUCAAUGGUUAGUUGACAUGAUAUUGAUUUGGAUCAAUUUGUAUAAUAUGGAAUGAUAUGACUUAAAUGUGAUGAACUCACCGUUGAUAUGAAUUGUGGUAAAAGGAUAAAUCAUUUAGUUAAUUGUUUUGUCAUGUAAUUGUGGGAAUUAAGGUAAGUUACAUUGUUUUAAACCUAUGAACUUACUAAGCUUAUUUAAGGCUUACUCUAUUUCAUUUUCUAUUUCUUGUAGUUAACAUUUUGCAGAACUAGGUGAUAGGAUCAUCUCGAAGGUCAUACUAUCCAACCUCCACUUUGGUAGACUUUUAAACCAUUAAACUCAGUGAUGUGGCAUGUAAUAGGAGUUGAUUUGUAAAUAUAUGUUUUGUUGAAGUUGAGUGUUAAAUGGUGAUGUAUAAUUGUAUAUAUGUUUGUUAGCAAGUUGAUAUGCUAACUUAUGACUUGAAUGAUAACAUUUGAAUGUAAUGUUUUGGUGAUAGGGUCAUUUAUGCGUGAUGAUAAUUUGGUGUUUGGAUUUCAUAUAAGGCAUAUAUGUGAUCAUAAUCUAAUUGACAUGAGAUAGGAUUAAUUACUUGAAUUGAUGCAUGUUAUGUUAUGGUGCUAUUGAGGCAUAUUAAUUAGAUUCUAGGGAUCAUGGUUUGUGAUUUAUUUUAGCAUGAAAUUAUACAUUUUGGAUGAGUUAUCAAGUGGAUAGUUAUUAUGCAUAACUUAGGUGAUGAAUUGAUUUUGAUAGUUUGUUGAAAAAGGUACAUUUUUGGUAUAUACAGGCUAACACACGGCCAUAUGUUACACACGGGUAAGUGACAUGGUCGUAUGCUUUGUUUUUAAUUGGGAGGUUUUGGGUUACACAGUUCCAGUUUGUUACAUGGGGUGACCACAUGCCCAUGUGAUACUGUAGAUUUGGUCAUUAGAAUUUCCACACGGUUUUAGUCUCUCACACAGCCUAGCCAUGUUUGUAAGUUUUUGCAUUUAGGUCCACAAAGUUUCAUUGAGUUACACGAUCAGGUUACAUGACCAUGUGACUCCAAUUUCGCACGGUCACCUAUUGUAACACGGCCUAAGCACACAACCGUGUAACCCUGUAUUGCAAAUUUCUCCUUGAUGGUUAAAAGUUUGUAAUUAAGUCUUUAUUUGUUUCUGGGUUGGUUUAAGAGCUUUCGUAAGCUCGAUUGAGACUUGUAAUUGUUUGUAGGUCAUAUUAUAAAUGAACUAUAAAUUGUUUUGUUGUUUCAUUAAAUGUUAAAGUCAGAAAUGUAUGUGAUUUAUUCCGUUAACUAUUGUAGAUUCUAUAGCUCCGGCCCGACAGCCGGACCGGGUGAGGGGUGUUACUUACCAAUAAUGAUGAUCAAGAUGAAUGUUCCAAGAAGUAUGUUUUGAUCCUUGUUGAAAUCUCUAACCAUCAAGUUAUUUUUCAUUAUUGUGGAGCUCUUGGUCAUGUUGAAAGAUUAAUGGUGGAAGCAAGUAGUGGCAGAACCAACGCCCACUGCUCCUAUCACUGCUCGAGGUCAAGGGUAAAAAUCUAUAUGAGGGAGAAUGAGAUGUCAUCUCAUGGAUUUGAUGAACAUAAGAAGAGAAGCUAGGUUAUCUGUCAUUAUUGUAAUAUGGUUGGUCAUAUCAAAUCACAUUGUUAUAAGAUGUUGAAUGACCUGAUAUGAGAAUUGUUUGAAGACAAGUUACAACUCAAACAAGAUACAACUAGAAACAUGUAUGAGUGAGAAAAGAUUGACAAUUGAUUGAUGUAUGUUAGAAUCGUGAAGUAGAAACUGACGCAACAACUUUUGAAAAUCAAGAUGAAAAUAUUUAUGCUCUCUAGAGAUCUUGUGGUAAAAAUCCUUGUUGCUCCAUGAGUUAUAACUCUCACCUACAGAGCUAUUGAUAAGUUAGCAUCCAUUGCACCCUAUGUUGAAACACCUUAUUGAGGGGGAGUGUGUUAAUGCUACAACUAAGGGGGAGUUUCUUCUUUGCCAUGCUUUUUGUUAUUGAUUCUGUUUAUUCAUGAUGUUGCCUACAUGUUAUUACUUUAUGUAAUUGAUAAAACUUUAGCUUAUGUAGAUGUCGAGAAGAGCGGCAACCUUGGCCAAACUGCUAGGUAAUGCCAUAAUAUAACCCAUGGCCCAUCCAUUAGCACCUUUGAGUAAUCAUCGUCAUCCUGAAACUUGAUCAAGUAAAAAUCUUUCUUCAAACCCAUUAAUUGAAUGGAUUUAUUCAGCUUUCAGAGUACAUACACCUUGUUAGAGAAAGCAUUAAAAGUUAUGCGUCGGCCCAAAAGUUUGAUGUUGACAGUACCCACACAAUACGCUUCUCAAUAAAUUUGUGAACCUGAUUUGAAAAACUAAGAGAAGGUAUUCCAUCAACAUUAGUCGUUGUGAUAUCCCCCUCAUGGAACUCAAAAUCAUCAUCUUGUGAAACACUAGAAUGAUGUAAUGAAGAACCCAAAAAACGUGUUCUUAAAGGAUGUCCUAGGCAUCAUUGGUUCCUUCAUCUGCAAACCAUUCCCAUCAACCAUCGGAUCAUCAAUAUCCGGUGGCUCAUCCGGUCGCCUCCAUACCUUCUUGGUUGUCUGACCAAAGUUGACACUGGAAGUAGCGGAGUUGGAGCCAAUCACAAAAGCACCUAGAGAAAUUCUAUAACAUGUAAGUCAUUUAAUCAAUAAUCAAUAAUAAUAAUCAAUAAUCAAUAAUCAAUAAGAUAGUACCUGCUGUUCCAAAAUAAUAAUAAUUAAGCUUAGACCUGAAUUUGAUCUGCUCCAACAAUUUGUUUCAUUACUAAUCUAUUAAUAAAAUGUUGAAAAUUAUAUUUUUAUAUUAAUAUUAUCAUUAAAUUUAUAUUAUUUUUAUUUUUUAAAUUGAAUUUAGGUGAGAUGAAUGAAAACUAAUAUUAAAAAGGUCAUAAUUUUCUAUUAGAUCCUGUACUUUGCGUAAGUUAUGAAUUUAGUACUUAUAUUUUAAUUUGGUUAUUUUCAGUUCCUGUACUUUUAAAUUUGAAAAUUUUAGUCAUGGCCAAAUGAUUUAUUUUUAAAAAUUGAUGUGUCAAACAUAGUGUCACAUGUGUAAUGCUAUGUUUGUUUGUUAUUUUCACAUUUUACUCACAAAAAAUCAAUUAAUAGAUUUAACGACCGUCAUUUGCAUUAAGACUAAAAUUUUGAAAUUCAAAAAAAUCCAAUUGGUGAGCAUGGACUAAAUUUAUAACUUUAUGCAUAAUAUAUGAAUAAUGACAUAAUUUAAUCAAAUAAAUUUAACUGUUACCAUUAAAUCAGGACUACAAUAUCAAAAUUCAAAAUAAAUAAAAAUAAAAAUUGAUUAAAUUAAAGUCGAAAGUUUAAUAUCAUAUUAGACCUAUAAAAACUCUCCGGCUAAAGUCUAAUCCAAGCCCGGCGUCCUACUCCGCAUGUGAACAAAACUACUCAUAAGGCGUAAUGGACAUUGAUGUUUUAACUUAUAAUAAUAUGUCUGACAUAUACUUCCAACUAAUCUUUAUGUUGUUCGAAGGAUCCAAAAGGAAAAAAGGACACUAACCCAUAUCCAGGAAUUGCUGACACGGUUUUUUUUGUCUUUUGUUUUUUUAAAGAUUGAGAUAAGACUAAUACGACGGAGUUGAUUAUUAUGAUGAUAACUACCGACUAUUAAAAAACCCCUUAAAUUACAAAUAACGAUAGUGAUAUCAACUAUUAUUUACAACUCAGAGAGUCAUCUGUUAUUGAGACUACAAGGAACAUCUGAGUUCAGAAUUAAGACAAGCAAAAUGAGUGGCUUGAUGGAGCUUGUAAUUCUUGUCCCAUGUUGUUUCUUCCUCGUAGCUUUAAUAAAGUUCCUUUAUGAUUACCUGUGGGUACCUCUCCGUAUACAGCAUCUGAUGAAUUCACAGGGAAUCAAAGGACCUCCUUACAAAUUCAUCCAUGGAAACAAUGAAGAAGCUACCAAGAUGAGAGAAGAAGCAUUAAGCAAACCUAUGGCCUUGAGGCAUGAUAUAUUUCCUAGAGUGCAGCCACAUAUUUACACCUGGAUCAACAGAUAUGGUAAGAUCCAUGCAUGUUUUUCACUAUAGUGUUCCAAUAUAGUAGUAAAUGAAAUUUUGUAAGUAAUUAAAAGCUGACUUGGUUACUAAUAAAAGUUGUUUAUUCUGAUGAAAGAAGUUUUUUUACUUGAUUAUUAAUAAAAAAUUAGGAUUAUUUUAGUAAUAAAUAAUCAACAAUUGUAUCUAUUUUUAACAGAUGAUACUAAUCAAAUAAACUUCUAUUAAAUAGUUAUAUUUUUAUAAGUAGACAUUAGAAUUGGUAUAGAUAGGGGAGGGAUUUCAUUUUUAUGUUAUGAAAUAUUAAGACACGCUAAAAACCCAAAAACAAAAAAUUUCUCUAUUCUCCGUCAUCUUCAAAUAUUCAUAGGUUGUUUUAUCAAGAACUAUUGCAGAAGUUUUUAUAGAAUAUGAUACUUUUCCUAAUGUUCAGUGUACUAUUUUCAUUAAUGCAAAAUGUAGAUAAUUAUUGGGUUUCAUUAUAUUCUCGACACUUAUUUGUUUGUAACAUUUUUAACGCCUCAAAAUAUAAAUGAGAAGAAAUUGAAUCAUGAAAAAAGUGGCGUUGGUUAAUUUUUAUAAGUUUAUUUUUAUUCUUACCCACCAGUUCUAAGAAAAGAUGUACCCUUUUUUGUUUGAUUAGGGAGGAAUUAUAUUUAUUGGAAUGGUAUUCGAACUGUAUUAGUGAUUUCAGAACCUGAACUAGUCAAAGAGGUUCUGAAAAAUAAUGAAAAUACAUUUCCAAAAAAGAAGCCUUCGAUUUAUUUUAGCAACCUACUGGGGAACGGGCUUGUGUUGAUUGAGGGUGAAAAAUGGUUGAAGCGUCGGAAGCUUGCCAAUCAUGCUUUCCAUGGGGAAAGCUUAAAGGUCAGUCCUCAAAAUAUAUGUAUCGAUUGUAAUUAAUUUACAUGAACUAUACUUAUACUGCAAAAUUAAGGAUCUAUAAUUGUUGGCGAAAUCGUAUAUCGUUGCUUACAUAUUUUGGAGGAUUGUUUGGGUAGAACAUGACACCAGCAGUAAUUGCAAGUGUUGAAACAAUGCUAGAGAAAUGGAAAGGCCAAGAAGGCAAAGAGAUUGAAGUGUUUCAAGAAUUUAGAUUAUUGACUUCAGAAGUGAUAUCCAGGACAGCUUUUGGUAGCAAUUACUUGGAAGGGGAGAAGAUCCUUUCCAUGUUGAAAGAGUUGUCUGUAAUUAUGAGUCGAAAUAAUUUCAAGACUAGAAUUCCUCUCAUCAAGUAUGUUCCAAGAUUUUAACUAGUUUUUGAAUGCAAAUUUUAGGAUGUUUAUCCAUAUGGAUUCAGUUUUCUCCUUAUAUAUGGUUGACACAGCUGGUUUGUUUUUUACAGCAAGUUAUGGAAACCUGCUGAUAUGCUAAGGUCAGAAGAACUUGCAAAAGGAAUACAAGAUUGUGUGAUGAAGAUUGUUAAGAAAAGGGAAGACAAAUUUAAGAAAGGAGAAGCUGAUAGUUUUGGUAAUGAUUUUCUAGGAUUACUUGUAAAUUCCUAUCAUUCGAAAGAUAAUAACAGUCUAUCAAUGGAAGACUUGGUAGAUGAGUGCAAAACAUUUUACUUUGCUGGACAAGGAACUAUUAAUUCCUUACUAGCAUGGAUAGUCUUGCUUUUAGCAACCCAUGGAGAUUGGCAGGAGAAAGCUAGAAGAGAGGUGAUUGACAUAUUCGGUAACCGAAAUCCAGAUUCUGAAGGCAUUUCUAAACUCAAAAUUGUAAGUAUACUGUCCAACAUUCCAAAAUAUUUUGUAUCUCAAUCUCAGGUUUUUUAGUCAGGUCAUGUUUAUCGCAAUUGCAAAUUCAACAAAUACUAUGCAUUUAGUACAUUAUAUUCUUUAAUUUGAUUUGACAUAUUCCUGUUAUGCAAACAGAUGACUAUGAUUAUUUAUGAAACUCUAAGAUUAUAUGGUCCAUCAAAUGGCCUACCAAGAGGAGUUGCAAGAGAAGUGCAGUUGGGAAAACUAGUCUUGCCUUCUAACAUAGAUCUUCUGGUCCAAAAUAUUGCACUUCACCAUGACCCUUACCUGUGGGGAGAUGAUGUGCAUCUUUUUAAACCAGAGAGAUUUGCAAAAGGGAUUGCCAAAUCUACCAAUUACAAUGCAGCUGCAUUUUUUCCCUUUGGAUUAGGACCUCGAUCUUGUGUUGGUAUGUCCUUUGCAACCACAGAAACGAAGAUUGUGCUCUCCAUGAUUCUACAACGCUACACCUUUACCCUCUCCCCUGCCUAUGUCCACUCACCAAUGCCUAUUGUCGACCUUCAACCGCAACAUGGAAUUCAAGUAAUACUUGAACCACUGCAUAACAAUGAUUGAUGUACACAACAGCUAAGGACAUGGGAUUCAACUCUGUUUGUUACAACAUUCACCUUUAAGAGGUAACAUUUAAGAUAUCCGGGGUUUUUAGUAUUAACAACCCCUUCCCUAUUCCUAAGCUACGCCCUCCUCUAAACAAAAAGAAAUCUAUGCAUUUGCUAGUUUCCUUAGAUGGUAAAACAUGUGAUUAAACAAUACAUCCUUCAUAUGGCGCAUAUUCCAGCAAGUAAACAGUUAUAUUAUAAUGCAUUUUACUUCACCAUUCUGCUCAUAUUUCAUUUGAAUUGCAGUGUUAUCAUCCUAAAGUCACUCUAGCAAGCAAUGAGGUUGCAAGUUUCUGAUAAAUUUAGUUCUAACAGACUACUUAAGCUAAUCCACCUUGGUGCUUUGUUUUCUUUUCCUAAACUAUAUUUUUUGCUAUUCCUAGCCCAUUUAAGCAUUCAGUUGGAAGAUGGUCGAGAGUUGUUAUAGCAUUCGGAAAGAAAAGGUUAGUGUGUGUUAAGUGACUGUGUGAGGCUAAGGUUAUGAUAAUCUUCAGAUUGGUUCUGCUUACAUUAUCUAUAAUAUAAAAUUUACUUUUUAAAAAGUUGUUUAACAAGCUUAUAGCUAAGAUAGGAUAUCCAAAUAAAAUAUAUUAACAAAAAGUAACGAACAAGUGUUGGGUGGAAUGAUAAUUGCAGUAUCAAGGGGAGAAACUUUUGAUGGAAAAAAGUGCUAGGUACCCGUAAUGUUCAGGCAAACCUUCUUCAUGUAAAACUUCGCCGGAAAGAUGAUUUCAUAGGGUUCUAUUUCGUCUUCAAUCCAAUCAUUGUUCACGUUUUUUUUUCUUAUCAAUAAAUAGAUCUAUUUACUUGUAUGACUUAGAUAUCUCGUAUCUCUCAAAAUAAUGGUUCGAUUGAUGAGAUUUGUUACGAUAUUUAUGAGAUCAAUGAUAUCGAUGAUAUUGAUAUUCAAAUAUUUCUUCUUAAAUCAUAUUGAUUUAACCCCAUAAGCAAGAACACCACCCCAUAAUGUUGCCUCCAAAAGCAGAACCUCGUAUUUCCUCUAGAGAAUCUCUUAAUUGUUCAAGAGUACCUAGAAUGAAAUUCUUUAAUUAGAAAGAAUUUAGUUUAGAUGUAGGAUAUCUAUCCAGAAGUUUUCGCAACUCAUGAUAUAGAAUCAUAAAAAAAAUUCUGACUUUUUAAACAAAUAGAUCACUUGGGUGUAGAAAAGAAAUAAUUAAUAAUAAAAAUUGGUAUAAUUAGAAAAGAAUAUCUUAAGAGUUCAUUUUGUUCUCACACUAACUUUUAAUAUUUAUAUAUUAUUUUAUAAAGAAAUAUUAUAAAAAAUUCUUUUAAAAAUUGAUAUUUUUAUAAUACAUCACUCAAUGUUGAAUACAUUUCAUUAAUAAACAAUAAUUAGCUUAAUUAUUAAGAGUUGAAUUAACUAUUUUUUAAUGAAGCAUUCUCUCUCUAAAAUCUCCAUCCUCACCACUAUUCUUAUCUAAUUCACCUUCAAGUUUUAAAAUCAAUGCUCUAUCAUGUUUUGAUUUUCUUUUAAAUUUAUUUUAAAUUUUAAAAAUUCCUUUUUUAAAAUCUCAAAUAUAUUACAUUUCACACUUUUAAGAAAAUAAUGUACGUUCAAACAUUGAAAAUGACAUAAUUAAAUAAGAUAAUCACGAAUCCUGAAAAUGAACCUAAAACGAUUUGUCCAAUUCAAAAUUUGGAAUGAUAGAAUCUUAAUAGAAAAUUUAACCUAAUUUUUUGAAUAAUCUUAUUGAGGAAGAAAGAAGAUGGGACAAGAAUUACAAACUUCAUCAAGCCACUCAUUUUUCUGCUUUUGCUUCUUAUAUCAUGUUUGACGCUAUUUUGUCUUUUUUACUUGUAAAUUAGAAGAGAUGCUCCCAAUUAUUCAUUCAUCCUCUCAUAUUCAAUUGCUUAUUGUAAACUUAAUUUAAAGGAUCAAUGAUUUAUAUAAUCUCCAUGAAAUUUCUGUCACUAUUUUUUUUAUUAUUUUUUUCUAGCCAUUGUUGACUAACUGCACCUGUUAGUGGUGAAAUGAAAAAUUUUUCAUUUUACACCCUUUAUAAUUUAUAAAAUUUUAAAUUAAUAAUAAUAAAAUUAUAUUUUGACUUCUCUAAAACUGAUAAAAAUUUAAUUUAAUCUUUCAAAAAUUAUAAAAUGUAAACUAUUAAAAUAAUGAAAUUACAUUUUUAGAUUAUAUAAACUAUUAAAAUUUCGAAUAUUUUGAUGUAAUUAAAAAUAAUUGUUUAAACUAUCCUUUUAAAAAUAUAUUUAAUAUUUUAAUAUAUAAAAAAUUCCGUAUUAAAAUUAAAAUAUUUAAAUAAUCAUGUUGUAUAUAUAUUGAAACACGUUUGAAUUUUAUAUAUCAAAAUAUAUUUUAAAUUAUCACGUGAACAAGCUAUAUUCUAUAAAAAGGAAACACGUAAUAUAUACUAUUUAAAUAAUCAUGUUUUUAAAUAAAUUACACUUUUGGUCCUUUUCUUUUUGAAAAUUUGUAGUUAUGUCACCUAACUUGAGAUUUUUUAUCACCGAAAUUUGUAAACCUAUUAAUAUAUUAUUUGAAUUAGAAUUUCUUGGUUCAGUACUUAAAAUUUUGUAGAUGUUCAAUGGAAUAUAUUUAUUCCAACUUUAAAUUUAAAGAAUAAAAAUAUAAUAAAGUAAAAGUUGAUAUAUAAUCUUAAUUUUGUAUAGACUAAUUUCAAACUCAAUGCUACCAACAACUCCUAGAAAGAGUAUCCACUAAUAACAACAAACUUACAUGAGUGAGGCAUUUAUUGAAACAAUCAGCAACCAAUUUUGACUCUUUUUACCAAUUAUUUUAUAUAUUUAUUUGUAUUUUGAAGUUAACUUUAAAAUAUUCUAUAUAAAAUGAAUUUAAUAACAAUAAAUUGCCUUUUACGUUUACGAAAUUUGACCAAAUGAAAACGUUUCAAAGUGAAAGACAGUAUGGAAUCCAAAUUAUAGCUGAUGAAAUGUUAUUUCUUUUAAUUAUUAAAAACAUUAUAAUUAAGAGAUAUGAUUAUUUUAAUAAAUAGUUAUAAUUAUUAUUAAAAAAUUUCACUAUUUAAAUAGUGUUAUGAAUAUCUUAUUAAGUGGAUGUCCAUCAAGAUCAAUAUAAGUCUUUGAUGUACUUUAAAUUCUAAUAGCCAUUAGAAGUAGGUUUUGCAAAUAUUCUGAUUGAUCAAUAAAUUACGCUCUCUCUUUGUUCUCCUUCUUCUUUGUUCUUUGUCUUUUAUUUUAUAACACGUUAUCAUAACGAUUCUCUUUUAAUUGUUUUUCUCCAUAAGUCACAAAAAUAUCCAAAAAUUUAUUGUUAUCGAUUGCCUCCUAGAGUUGCUACGCGCACUAUGGGUAAUCAUUAGAGCCUUUAACCAAUGAGGUACACAUAAUUCUCUACAUUUUUUUAUGUCCUUUUAUGUAAAAAAAUUUAUAUAAUUCUUACGUGGUAUGUUUUUCUCCUUUAUUUAUUGAUUUUUGGAAAAAUUAUUUUACAAAAAAAAGUAUUAUUACUUUAAGGUUUCUUUUAAACUAAGAUUCGCAUAAUAUUUAAAUGUUUAAAGAUUUGAUUAUUAAAUUCUUGUCAUUAAAUAUUCUUGUAAUAUGAUUAAAAUUAUAGUGGAAAGUGUUAUUAACCUACCAUAGUUGAUCUAUUGAGUCUUACUAACUUUCUAAUGUUGAAUGAUUGUAUUAUAUCUUUUAAAUUGAAUUUAUAAAUAUUUGAUUAGAAGCUUCAAAAGAUUAAUUUAUAACAUAUAUGUGGUAUUGAAAUUUGGUACAAUGUGUAUCAAAUAACUUUCAAGCAUCGUACACACAAACUAAAUGAUUUUUUUACUAUUAGAUUAUAAAUGUUAUUACAAAAACAAAAUUGUUUUACUACUUGUCAUAUUGCUCGUGAUAAUAGCCAAGGUGAUACAAUGAUGUUAAAGAAUCUCAGGUAUAUUUUAUUAUAAUUUAUUUAUUAUGCCAUGUUUAUUAUAAUUGGAGACUAAUCACGACAACAUGAAUAGAUAGAUUUUGAUUUAAAAUCCACGCAUGUUUUGCAAUGGUGAUUAUGAAAUAAAGAAUCAAUGGAGGCGUUUAGAAGUAUGCCCCACUAGAUUUGUUGCAUUCCUUGAAGUGAAUGUAAACAUAAAGAAAAUAAAAGAUAUAAUCAUGGAUCACUAAAAGUGGGAACAUAGUAAUAAAUAAGAGAACAAUGAGAGUUCUCCAGAUAACUCUUCAAAGGGUAAAUAUAACUUAUGUUAUCAAUGUGAUAUGAAAUAUUAUUGGCCACAUAUGUGGCGUAUCCCAAAUAUUUUGUUUCUGUUAAUAUUUUUGAGGAAGGAUAUGAGAAUGUAGAAAUAAAUUAUGUUAUUACAGAUAUAAAAUAUUUAUCUUAUUUGAUACUGAAACAAACAAAUAUUAUUCAAAUAUUUGGUAGUACAAAAUUAGUCGACAGCUCCAGAAGAGCUAAUAUAUUAAUAUCAUCCCCAAUGGUUAAUCCAUUGGUUUUAAAAACUAUUCAUUGUAAUGGAUCUCAUAUUGAGAUUGUAAAUGAGGAAAAAAUUAUAUUUCAUAUGAAUCACUAUUGCUAUAAAUAUCUAUUUUAAAAAGAUAAAAAAAAAGGGAAGGAUUGAGUUAUUAGUUAAUCUUGUUAUUAAAUUGAAUUUAUUAUGACUAUCUUUGUGAUCUUUUGUCAUCAUCCCCAUUAAGGGGUUGAAAGCAAAAUAUUUAACUGUGAAAAAUCUACUUAUGAGCAAUAGAAUAUGGUAAUUCUAUCUAAAACUUGUUAUGGUUGGAUGCACUUGAAGUUGCAAGUUUUUUAAAACAAUGAGUAUAACUCUAUAGUAUUCAGAAUAAGAUCUUAAUUAAAAUUACGUGAAAAAAUAUUACUGAUGAGAAAUUGCAAGAGAGAAAACUUAUGUAUGAAAAAGUCAUUGGUUAUGUACCUGUUGUACACCUGGAAAAUAAAAUCCACUCUUAAAGCUUGCUAUUAAUAGAUUUUGGUUGGAUUCAAAGUCUACUACUGAAGUUUAAUUUGUUUACUUCUUGAUCAAAUCGUCAAGACUCAACGCAGAAAAAAAAAGGUACAUAUUAAAAUAUUAAAUCAACUUGAUAUAUGGUUUAAAGAUUUGAAAUGGUCUUCUUUUUAAGUUUUGAUUACAUGGCUUACAUAUUGUUUUCGGUAUCUUAUUUGUUCAUGAAAAUGACUAUUAACUGAUUUUAUAACAACCCAAAACUCGACCCAGAAGUUUUGACCAAAUUCCGGAGGUUUCAUUGGCCACCCGAAGUGGCAAAAGUAAAAACUCUGAAUUAAACAUAGAAAAUUCUUUUCGAAACCAUUUUGAUGACUAAUUAUAGCAAGUUAGAUAAAAACUUAGUUAUAUUUUGAAAACAAUGUUUACUUGGCGGCAAUGACUAAGUCAGGAAUAAACCAAAUUGGUCUUUCUUGAACAGUUUCAAAAGCAUCAAAUUUUAUCAAUCACAAACCAAAAUUCAAAACUGGAAACACAUAAUUUAACGAACAAUCCAAUUACAAAACCCAUACCACAUUUUAUAAACUCCCUUACAAAUAAACUAAAAAUAAUAAAUUGAAUUUAAGAAAUAUUGUUAAAACAAACCAAACUUUUUAAGUAUCCGAGGCCUCCAAUAUGCCGAGUCCAACCUCCAAGCUCCAAGUUAACCUAAAAGAGAGGAAACUAAGGGGAUGAGUUAUACGAGCUCAGUGUGAGACUGGAAGAGUGGUGAAGGCAAAAGACCGUAUACCAAAAUGGAUAUCUUAAAAGAAAUCUUGCAGACUAAGUGUGAAAGUCUAGUGUGAAAGUCUCGAUCCGGUACUCAGACAUAUAAACAAUGUCAUUGCCAAACAUAACAUAAAGAUAAUAUACUUAACACACUAAUUACUUAAUCAUGUCGGACUACUUAAAUUAUUUCAAGGAUGUGCUAUUAUCCUUGCAAACAGACUUAUACUCAAAUAUGAAAAUGUAUGCAGCAAACUAAACUCACCCAACCAACUGAACAUCACUUCGUCCACCCUGCACACCACACAAGACUAUAAUAAUCCUAUCUACCCAGCACACUACAUAGGACCAUGAUAGGUCCAUCCACCCUACACAUCACAAAUGUGGAACUAAGCCACUAGAAUUCAAAUGUGCAGCUGAGCUGACAUAUGUAUAAAAUCAUGCAGUAACCCGCUAGACAAAAAAUAUUGCAGUUGAACUGCCAAAUCAGUCUUUCUUCUCUUCACAACCAAAAUCCUAGAUUUUUAUGCAAAUGGAUGAAUGCACACAAUUCGCUAACAGACUCAUCGAAAUAGAGACAUAUUUUCGGUUGAAUACAUUUAGAAUCAAUUAUACUUAUAUUCAUUCACUAGGUAAUAUUUCAAAUCCAUUUAUCACAUCAUAUUAAUGCAUAAAUAAACAAUUAACUUUAAUCCUAUAAUUGCAAAUACACACACAAGUUUGAGCUGAAACAAAGUCCCAACACACUUACAGAGACCUUAACAAACGUUGGGCUACACAGAAACUAAAGCGAGUCAAUUUACAGAAAAGGACAAAAAUUUGUGAAACAGAGCCAUACAGCCGUGUGGAGGAGUUCAGACCGUAUGAGGGGUCUACAAGGCCGUAUGAAAGAGGGACACGACAGUGUGUUGGAGACACAUGCCUGUGUGAUAGGGUUACAUGGUCGUGUGAAUAACCCGUGUAACUCACUGUGCAUUUGUGUAAAAUUUAGCAAAAUUUGAGAAGCAAAACAGACACAGUUGUAUGGCCAACUCAAAUGCCCGUCUGGCUAAGAAACACGACUGCGUGUCCAAGGCAUACGCUCAUGUAGAAAAUAAUUAAAUCCCCAAACAUAGCCACACGAUCGUUUGGCACACCCCAAUUCGUAUGACAAAAAAUUACCCUAAUUUCGUAGUGACACACGGCCGUGUGGACCGCCCGUGUGGCUACCCAUGUGGUCACAAAACCACACCGAAAUAGGCUGAAAAUUGUGAAUUUGCAAUAGCAAAACAAUCCUUAAUCACUAAUAGUUUAGAAACAUACCUUAAAUUGGGACUCCGGUCACCAAUAACUGAUUGUUUCGCCUCCACAAAACUGUUCUAGAACUCAAUUACAAUUACCCACAAAAUAUUUUAAAACCUCAGUCAACAAUAUUAAAGAAUCAAGAAAAUCAAACUAAAAUUUAAAAGGAGUACUUACACAUUUCAGCACUAAAACUAAUGAACAUGCAAAUCUCCUAACAAAGCAACCGAAACCAAGGCCCCAAUGAACCGCCAAAAUAGCGCAAAACUAGCAAACCUUAAUAACCUAAUGGUGACAAGAGAAACUAAAGAACUAGAGAAUAAAGGCACCACAAAAACUCAAUGGCCAAAAAGAAUCAAAAAUUGAAACUGGAAAUGAAAUAGAGGAAAAACAACGUGUGAGAGAAAAGAGAAAAAUAAAUAAAAUCAACGAACCCACCUUAUAUGUGAAGGAAUAAGGAAAGGACACCACGCUGAUACUAUCCUUAUAUGUUGACGAUCUAUUAGAAAUUGGCAUUAGUGGAAACCUGCUAGUUGAGUUCAAGAAACAAAUGCGAGCUGAAUUUGAAAUGUUUGAUCUUGGAGACAUGACUUAUUUUCUUGGUCUAAAACUAUUUCAGUCAGAUCAAGGUAUCUUCAUCAAUCAAAAGAGCUUUGCCUUGAAGAUAUUGAACUGAUUUUGUAUGGAAAAUUGAAAGCCAGCAGGGACUCCCAUUGCUCAAGGUAAAAAACUCCCAAGCCAUGGUUAAUUUGAAAUAGUUGAUGAAGGCAAUUAUAGGAGCCUUAUAGGAUGUUUACUUUAUUUGAUAGCAUCGUGGCCAGAUAUUAUCUUUUCUGUCAGUCUUUUUUCAAGAUUUAUGCAUUGUUGUAAUGUGAUCCAUUUUAAAGUUACGAAGAGGGUUCUAAGGUAUGUCAAAGGAACUUUGAGUUAUGGAGUUGAAUAUGUGAAGGAAAAGGAGCUAAAGUUGGCUGGUUUCACAAACAGUGAUUGGGCUGGUUCUGUCGAACAUAUAUAUGAAGAGCACUUCAGGGUACUUCUUCACUUUGAGAUCAAGUGUAUUCAUUUAGAGCUCAAGGAAGCAAGAAAUUGUUGCACAAUCAGAGUACAUCACAAUAACUGCAGCAGCAAGCCAAACACUUUGGCUAAGAAAGUUAAUGUCUGAUUUAAAUCUUAAGUAAGUUGAAGCAACAGAGAUAUAUUGUGACAAUCAAUCUGCUAUUGCAAUUUGAAAGAACCCUAUCUUCCAUGACAAGGCAAAACACUUCAAGAUAAAAUACCACUUUAUUAGAGAAGUCGAGCAAUAAAAUGAAGUGAAGCUUGUUCAUUGCAGUUCAGAUAUUCAACUUGCUGAUAUUCUCACAAAACCUCUUGAAAAGUUGAGGUUCGAGAGGCUAAGACAUGAUAUUGGAGUUUGCGGCAUUAUUGCCAAGGAAGAGUGUUGUGAAGUGGCGAUUCAUACAGUGGCGAACUCAACAUGCAAAGGCACGAGCUCAAACAAGUUUGUGAGCUCUACACUUCCGAGCUCAUCCAAAGUUGUGGGCUUACCUAAAGAUGCGAGCUCAACUCAAGUUGCGAGCAUGUCAAAGUGUGAGCGUGUUAAGUUUUUUGGUNNNNNNNNNNNNNNNNNNNNNNNNNNNNNNNNNNNNNNNNNNNNNNNNNNNNNNNNNNNNNNNNNNNNNNNNNNNNNNNNNNNNNNNNNNNNNNNNNNNNGUUGCAAGUUUUUUAAAACAAUGAGUAUAACUCUAUAGUAUUCAGAAUAAGAUCUUAAUUAAAAUUACGUGAAAAAAUAUUACUGAUGAGAAAUUGCAAGAGAGAAAACUUAUGUAUGAAAAAGUCAUUGGUUAUGUACCUGUUGUACACCUGGAAAAUAAAAUCCACUCUUAAAGCUUGCUAUUAAUAGAUUUUGGUUGGAUUCAAAGUCUACUACUGAAGUUUAAUUUGUUUACUUCUUGAUCAAAUCGUCAAGACUCAACGCAGAAAAAAAAAGGUACAUAUUAAAAUAUUAAAUCAACUUGAUAUAUGGUUUAAAGAUUUGAAAUGGUCUUCUUUUUAAGUUUUGAUUACAUGGCUUACAUAUUGUUUUCGGUAUCUUAUUUGUUCAUGAAAAUGACUAUUAACUGAUUUUAUAACAACCCAAAACUCGACCCAGAAGUUUUGACCAAAUUCCGGAGGUUUCAUUGGCCACCCGAAGUGGCAAAAGUAAAAACUCUGAAUUAAACAUAGAAAAUUCUUUUCGAAACCAUUUUGAUGACUAAUUAUAGCAAGUUAGAUAAAAACUUAGUUAUAUUUUGAAAACAAUGUUUACUUGGCGGCAAUGACUAAGUCAGGAAUAAACCAAAUUGGUCUUUCUUGAACAGUUUCAAAAGCAUCAAAUUUUAUCAAUCACAAACCAAAAUUCAAAACUGGAAACACAUAAUUUAACGAACAAUCCAAUUACAAAACCCAUACCACAUUUUAUAAACUCCCUUACAAAUAAACUAAAAAUAAUAAAUUGAAUUUAAGAAAUAUUGUUAAAACAAACCAAACUUUUUAAGUAUCCGAGACUUCUGAUAUGCCGAGUUCAACCUCCAAGCUCCAAGUUAACCUGAAAAGAGAGGAAACUAAGGGAAUAAGCUAUACGAGCUCAGUGUGAGACUGGAAGAGCGGUGAAGGCAAAAGACCGUAUACCAAAAUGGAUAUCUUAAAAGAAAUCUUGCAGACUAAGUGUGAAAGUCUUGAUCUGGUACUCAGACAUAUAAACAAUGUCAUUGCCAAACAUAACAUAAAGAUAAUAUACUUAACACACUAAUUACUUAAUCAUGUUGGACUACUUAAAUUAUUUCACAGAUGUGCUACUAUCCUUGCCAACAGACUUAUACUCAAAUAUGAAAAUGUAUGCAACAAACUAAAAACUCACCCAACCAACUGAACACCACUUCGUCCUUCCUGCACACCACACAAGGCUAUAAUAAUCCUAUCUACCCAGCACACCACAUAGGACCAUGAUAGGUCCAUCCACCCUACACAUCACAAAUGUGUAACUCAGCCACUAGAAUUAAAAUGUGCGGCUGAGCUGACAUAUGUAUAAAAUCAUGCAGUAACCCGCUAUACAAAAAUAUUGUAGUUGAACUGCUAAAUCAGUCUUCCUUCUCUUCACAACCAAAAUCCUAGAUUUUUAUGCAAAUGCAUGAAUGCACACAAUUCACUAACAGACUCAUCGAAAUAGAGACAUACUUUCGGUUGAAUACAUUCAGAAUCAAUUAUACUUGUAUUCAUUCACUAGGUAAUAUUUCAAAUCCAUUUAUCACAUCAUAUUAAUGCAUAAAUAAACAAUUAACUUUAAUCCUAUAAUUGCAAAUACACACACGGAUUUGAGCUGAAACAAAGUCCCAACACACUUACAGAGACCUUAACAAACAUUGGGCUACAUAGAAAUUAAAACGAGUCAGUUUACAAAACAGGACAAAAAUUUGUGAAAUAGAGCCAUACGGCCGUGUGGAGGAAUUCAGACCACGUGAGGGGUCUACACGGCCGUAUGAAAGAGGGACAUGACAGUGUGUUGGAGACACACACCUGUGUGAUAGGGUUACAUAGUCGUGUGAGUAACCUGUGUAACUCACUGUGCAUUUGUGCAAAAUUUAGCAAAAUUUGAGAAGCAGAAUAGACACAGUUGUAUGGCCAACUCAAAUGCCCGUCUGGCUAAGAAACACGACUGUGUGUCCAAGGCAUAUGCUCGUGUAGAAAAUAAUUAAAUCCCCAAAUAUAGCCACACGACCAUUUGGCACACCCUAAUUUGUAUGACAAAAAAAUUACCCUAAUUUCGCAGUGACACACGGCCGUGUGGACCGCCCGUGUGGCUACCCAUGUGGUCACGAAACCACACCGAAACAGGUUGAAAAUCGUGAAUUUACGACAGCAAAACAAUUCCUAAUCACUAAUAGUUUAGAAACAUACCUUAAAUCGGGACUCCGAUCACUAAUAACUGAUUGUUUCACCUCCACAAAACCAUUCUAGAAACUCAAUUACAAUUACCCACAAAAUAUUUUAAAACCUCAGUCAACAAUAUUAAAGAAUCAAGAAAAUCAAACUAAAAUUUAAAAGGAGUACUUACACAUUUCAGCACUAAAACUAAUGAACAUGCAAAUCUCCUAACAAAGCAACCAAAACCAAGGCCCCAAUGAACCACCAAAAUAGCGCAAAACUAGCAAACCUUAAUAACCUAAUGGUAACAAGAGAAACUAAAGAACUAGAGAAUAAAGGCACCACAAAAACUCAAUGGCCAAAAAGAAUCAAAAAUUGAAACUGGAAAUGAAAUAGAGGAAAAACAACGUGUGAAAGAGAAAAGAGAAAAAUAAAUAAAAUCAACGAACCUACCUUAUAUGUGAAGGAAUAAGGAAAGGAAACCAUGCUGAUACUAUCCUUAUAUGUUGACGAUCUGUUAGAAAUUGGCAUUAGUGGAAACCUGCUAGUUGAGUUCAAGAAACAAAUGCGAGCUGAAUUUGAAAUGUUUGAUCUUGGAGACAUGACUUAUUUUCUUGGUCUAAAACUAUUUCAGUCAGAUCAAGGUAUCUUCAUCAAUCAAAAGAGCUUUGCCUUGAAGAUAUUGAAUAGAUUUUGUAUGGAAAAUUGAAAGCCUGUAGGGACUCCCAUUGCUCAAGGUGAAAAACUCCCAAGCCAUGGUUAAUUUGAAAUAGUUUAUGAAGGCAGUUAUAGGAGCCUUAUAGGAUGUUUGUUUUAUUUGACAGCAUCGUGGCUAGAUAUUAUCUUUUCUGUCAGUCUUUUUUAAAGAUUUAUGCAUUGUUGUAAUGUGAUCCAUUUUAAAGCUACGAAGAGGGUUCUAAGGUAUGUCAAAGGAACUUUGAGUUAUGGAGUUGAAUAUGUGAAGGAAAGGAGCUAAAGUUGACUGAUUUCACAAAUAGUGAUUGGGCUGGUUCUGUUGAACAUAUGAAGAGCACUUCAGGGUACUUCCUCACUUUGAGAUCAAGUGUAUUCAUUUAGAGCUCAAGGAAGCAAGAAACUGUUGCACAAUCAACCGCUGAAAUUGAGUACAUCGCAAUAACUGCAGAGCAAGCCAAACACUUUGGCUAAGAAAGUUGAUGUCUGAUUUAAAUCUUAAGUAAGUCGAAGCAACAGAGAUAUAUUGUGACAAUCAAUCUGUUGUUGCAAUUUGAAAGAACCCUAUCUUCCAUGACAAGGCAAAACACUUCAAGAUAAAAUACCACUUUGUUAGAGAGGUCGAGCAAUAAAAUGAAGUGAAGCUUGUUCAUUGCAGUUCAGAUAUUCAACUUGCUGAUAUUCUCACAAAACCUCUUGAAAAGUUGAGGUUCGAGAGGCUAAGACAUGAUAUUGGAGUUUGCGGCAUUAUGGCCAAGGAGAAGUGUUGUGAAGUGGGGAUUCAUACAGUGGCGAACUCAAAAGGCACGAGCUCAAACAAGUCUGCGAGCUCUACACUUCUAAGCUCAUCCAAACCAAAGUUGUGGGCUUACCUAAAGAUGCGAGCUCAACUCAAGUUGCGAGCAUGUCAAAGUGUGAGCUGUUAAGUUUUUUGGUGAAACCCUAGUUAAAGUGCGAGCAGGGUUCACAUAUCUUGAUAUCAAUGUUUUUUUUCUUUAGUCUACUUAUUUGAGUUUACUUGUCAAAGCAAAUAGAGUUAGUAUUGAUUUUAUGUUUUUAAGUAUUGAUUUGUUAACUUAUUAUUGUAAUUCAUGUGAACUGAAAGAUGACAAAUUUAUGCUCUCUCAACUUCUCAAAACACCAGCAGCAUCCCUGUCAUCAUUUUAAUAUCUUUAUAAAUUUUAAAUGAUUAAAUAAAAUUUUUAUCAAUUUUGAGAUCAAAGUACAAUUUUACCCUUAUUAAUUUAAAAUUUUAUAAAUUAUUUCACAUUAGAUUACCAUUUACAUCCUUUGUUCAGUUUGGCUAUAAAACUAAAGGCACAUAUGGAUUCAGUGGUAAGAGAAGAAAAAAAGAGUGACUUGAUGGAGCUUGUAAUUCUUGUCCCAUGUUGUUUCUUCCUCGUAGCUUUAAUAAAGUUCCUUUAUGAUUACCUGUGGGUACCUCUCCGUAUACAGCAUAUGAUGAAUUCACAGGGAAUCAAAGGACCUCCUUACAGAUUCAUCCAUGGAAACAGCAAGGAAGUUGCCAGAAUGGAACAAGAAGCAUUAAGCAAACGUGUGGCCUUAACAGAUGAUAUAUUUCCCAAAGUACUGCCACAUUUUUACGCCUGGAUCAACAGAUAUGGUAAGAUCCAUGCAUGUUUUUUCAUUAUGAUUUAUAACUCGUAGUUCUAAGAAAAGAUUGACCUUUUUCUUUUCAAGUGAUUAGGGAGGAAUUUUGUUUAUUGGAACGGUGCGCGACCUGAAUUGGUGAUUUCAGAGCCUGAAUUAAUCAAAGAGGUUCUGCAAACUAGUGAAAAAAAAAUUCAAGAAAAGAGCCUUUCAGAUAUUGGUAAGGAGUUCCUGGGGAAUGGGCUUCUAUUCAUUGCGGGGGAAAAAUGGGCAAAGCAUCGAAAGCUAGCCAAUCACGCUUUCCAUGGGGAAAGCCUUAAGGUAAAUCCUCCAGUAUGAUUAAUUGACAAGAAUUAUACAGACUACAGAAUUUUGUAUUGUUGCCUAACAACCAGUUUAUAGUCGAAGUUGAAAGUAUUCGUAGAAAAGUAUUUUUUUAACCUCAAUAGUAAGCAAAGUCUAAAUAGUAUGUGGCAACUACUUAUAUAUUGAAGGAUUGUUUGGGCAGAACAUGACUCCAGCAAUAAUUGCUAGCGUUGAAACAAUGCUAGAAAAGUGGAAAGGUCAAGAAGGCAGAGAGAUUGAAGUGUUGAAAGAAUUUAGGUUAUUGACUUCAGAAGUGAUUUCCAGAACAGCUUUUGGUAGCAGUUACUUAGAAGGGGAGAAGAUUUUUGCCAUGUUACAGAAGUUGACAAUAAUUAUGAGUCGAAAUCUUUUUAAGACUAGAAUUCCUUUGAUCAGGUAUCUUCCCUAUAAGCUUAAUUAAUCCCAACUUUUACCUUGAUUUCAGCUAGCUUUUGAAUGCAACUUUUGGACUUUCAUUCCCCAUGGAUUUGGUUUUCUCCUUAUAUAUAGCUGACCAUUGUUUGCUUUUGCAGCAAGUUGUGGAAAUCUUCUGAUUUGCUAGAGUCUGAAAAACUUUCAAAAGAAAUAAAAGAUCGUGUGAUGAAGAUUGUUAAGAAAAGAGAAGACGAAGCUGUGAAUGGAGAAGUCAAUAGCUUUGGCAAUGAUUUUCUUGGAUUACUUGUAAAUGCCUAUCAUGAUUCGGACGAGAAAAACAGGUUUUCAUUGGAAGACUUGUUAGCUGAAUGCAAAACAUUCUAUUUUUCUGGACAAGAAACUGUUAAUUCCUUACUUUCAUGGAUAGUCUUGCAUUUGGCAAUCCACGGAGAUUGGCAAGAAAAAGCGAGAAGAGAGGUGAUUGACAUAUUUGGUAACCAAAAUCCGCAUCUCGAAGGCGUCGCCAAACUCAAAAUAGUAAGAAAACUAUCUAACUGGGAAUUCAAAUAGCCAUCAACAUGAUGUAAUCUAACAUAUUUUUCUAUUUUCCAAACAGACGACCAUGAUCAUCAAUGAAACUCUAAGAUUGUAUGGUCCAUCAAAUGGCCUGGCAAGAGCAGUUACAAGAGAAGUUCAGUUGGGAAAGCUACUCUUGCCUGCUAAUAUAAGUAUUCUGCCUUUAUAUAUUGGAAUUCACCAUGACCCUCACUUUUGGGGAGAUGAUGUGCAUCAUUUUAAACCCGAGAGAUUCGCUGAAGGGAUUGCGAAAGCUACCAAUUAUACCGCGGCUGCAUUUCUUCCCUUCGGGUUGGGACCUCGAUCUUGUGUUGGUAUGACAUUUGCAACAAUAGAAACCAAGAUUGUUCUCUCCAUGAUUCUACAACGUUACACCAUUACCCUCUCCCCUGCCUAUAUCCACUCUCCGAUAUCCAUUCUCAGCAUUAGACCACAACAUGAAAUUCAGGUGAUACUUGAACCACUGCAUCAUAAUGCUUGAAGUACAUAGCUGUUAAGAACUAAGGGUUUAACGUGGUUCAUGUAUUUUAGGUUUAAGAGAUGACAUUUAAUAUGUUUAAGGUUCCAGCAUUUGCAUCCCCUUCCCUAUCCUAAGCUAUACCCACCUUUAUACAUAAUGAAAUUCAAGUAGCUACUGAUUUCCAAGAUGGUAAAACGCAAUCAAUAAAGAAGAAUAUGUUGAGGCAAGUUUCGGGAACAGUGACUUGAAAACUGACAACUGCACUCGGCACGUGUUCCUUAUUUGUUAGCAUGUUUAAAAUAAAUAUUUUAAUUAUUUGCUUGCAUCUUUUUAAAGAUUUUGUACAUUCUUAAACUAAUGGUUAUACUAAGGCUUGUUAGCGGUUUAAACUUUGGGCAAAGCACAAUAGACGUAGAUAUGUUCUCCCUGAUUGGUGUCGAAUUUACUAAAAAUAAAUUCUUCUACUUGAUACUGAAAUUAAAUUUAUAAUAUAGAGAGUAAAGUCGAUCCCACAUAAGUUAAUCUAUCCAAAUAUAUAUUCUUUAUAACUAGAACGUGUCCCAAGUAGUUUUUAUGCCCAUGACUUGUGCGAACCUGUACCAAAAAUAAGAGGGGAUAAAAUCUGAAAAAUAAAUAAACAACCGAAAUUAAUUAAAAAUAAAAAUAAAGUAGAAAUAAGUAAAAUGAAAUAAUAUUAUUGAAUUAAAUAAUUUCAGUUUUUAUAAAAAAAAAUUUAUCAUACACACCUGGAAAAUAUGAAACACAUGGUUAAAUCUUAUUGGCUUCUGGACUAAAAAUAUUAAAUAAAAGAAAGUUUUGGGUAAAAACAAUUUAAACAUGAAUGUGAGAAAGUGAGUAUAGUUUAAGAGCUAAAAUAUGAAUAAAGUCUAAAUAAAUUCCUAAAAUAUAAAAAUUCAUAAAUACAUUAAUGUGAUUAUAUAUAAUCAAAAUUAAAUAUUAAAAUCAAACUAAAUAUGAUUUAAACUUGAAUGAAACUCGUAAUUCUCGUAAAAUUCUUAUUCAAAAAUAAGUUUUUGAACUCGAAAUAAGAAAAUAAAUUUAUUAAAAGAGGCAACCACUUAACAGUGGAUGAUACAAGUCCUUGCAAGAGCAAUUACAAAAUCUGCUGAACUGCACAAUUAACAUACACCAAUAUGACAUCACCACAAGAAAAGCACACUUUACCAAUGCCAGAAAACCAUAGCCCGGAGCAGAAAACAAGAAGCGAGAGAGCAAGUUAUAUCUGAAAACAAGCACUACUACGAAACCCUUCUCAACAUGGCAAACACCACAUCAGAAACUAAGACAAACAGCAGCUCCACCCAUAAUCCAGAACCAAGCAACUAACUAUAGUGAUCGCCCUUGCUUAAAAAAAAAAAGAAAACUUUACAUAGAUCAACGAGUAAGCAUUGGACCUCACCCCAAGUAAGAAAACGAUCCAUCAAACCUUGAAAAAGCUUUAGACACCAUCACUUAUCAGUAGAUAAGAAACCUAAAACAGAGCCAACACCAGCAACACCUUAUCAAGACCAACAGCCUAGAAAAAAUCUCAAUGGAACCGAUAUCAAACGAAACUCAAUGCCAUAUCGGCUCCCAUAAAACUUUCAAACCACCCCACUGUAGCUCUUAAGACUGACGAUAACCAUACUUUAAAAUCACCAAAGCAUCCACUUCGAGAGACACCUUCAACCAUAACACAAUGAAUAGACUCAAAUUCAAUUCUAUAAUCACAACAUACAAAAAAAGACAGAAGCCAUAUUCAAUAAAAUAACAGCCUCAACCAAUCAGUAGGCCCAUAAAAGGCACAAAACACCAUAAUGCAUCAUCCAACCUCAACAACAUAGGGUUUGUUUAUCAUGGUGUUAUAAUCAAUAUUGGGUUCAAACCCACUAUAAGUAUAUUUUUAUUGAUUUUUAUUAUCUAGAAGAGUAGAUAUUAUACACGAACAUUUUAGUUAUUAGAUAUUUGUAAUAUUAAUGGUAAGGAUGUUGACAUGUGUCAACAAUUCAAUGGCCGCUAAACCUUAUAAAUAGGGAUAGUAGUUUUCAUUUCUGGUACCUAUGUGCAACAGAGAAGUGUGUGUCAUAUUGUAAUUGUAUUGUGCAUUAAUAAAGUGUUCUUUCCUCUUAUAAUUGUAAGUCCCGGCUAAGCCUUAGUUUUCUAAGCACUUAGUGCACUUGAGGAGUUAGCUUCUAUAUAUGGUUGGUUCUACAGUUUGAAUGAUAUAUGAUCGGCUCUGCCGCUUGAAUAAUAUAUGAUCAGCCCUGUUGCCUUAGUAUUAUAGUGCAUUAAGAAGUUAGAAAAUAAAAGGUUAACCGGCUCAAAAAAUUCGGUGUAAUAUUUCUUGUAGGUCUUAGGUCUUCUAUAAUGGGUGUGUUGGGCUCAUCGAGUUCCCAACAACAAAUUUUAGGAUGUUUAUUCCUAUGGAUUUAGUUUUCUCCUUAUAUAUGGUUGACAUUAGUUUGCUUUUACAGCAAGUUAUGGAAACGCGUUGAUAUGCUGAAGUCAGAAGAACUUGCAAAAGGAAUUCAAGAUUGUGUGAUGAAAAUUGUUAAGCAAAGAGAAGACAAAUUUGUGAAUGGAGAAGCUGACAGCUUUGGCAAUGAUUUUUUAGGAUUACUUGUAAAUGCAUAUCAUGAUUCGGAUGAAAAUAACAGGCUUUCAAUGGAAGACUUGGUAGAUGAGUGCAAAACAUUCUACUUUGCCGGACAAGAAACUGUUAAUUCCUUACUUGCUUGGAUAGUCUUGCUUUUAGCAACUCACGGAGAUUGGCAGGAUAAAGCUAGAAGAGAGGUGAUUGACAUAUUCGGUAACCGAAAUCCAGAUUCCAAAGGCAUUUCUAAACUCAAAACUGUAAGUAAAUUGUCAAAUAUUCCUAUAUAUUUUUUAUCUCAAUCUCAAAGCUGGUGUUUCAAUCACGUCUUGUUUAUCGCAAUCACAAAUGUAACAAAUAUUAUGUGUUUAGUACAUAUUCUUUAAUUUAAUCUGACCUAUUCUUGUUUUGCAAACAGAUUACUAUGAUUAUUUAUGAAACACUAAGAUUGUAUGGUCCAUCAAAUGGCUUGCAAAGAAGAGUUACAAGAAAAGUUCAGUUGGGAAAGCUAGUCUUGCCUGCUAAUAUAGAUAUUCUGGUUCAAAAUAUUGCACUUCACCAUGAGCCUCACCAGUGGGGAGACGAUGUACAUCUUUUUAAACCAGAGAGAUUUGAAGAAGGGAUUGCCAAAGCUACCAACUACAAUGCAGCUGCAUUUUUUACCUUCGGAUUGGGACCUCGAUCUUGUAUUGGUAUGUCCUUUGCAAUCACGGAAACUAAGGUUGCAAUCUCCAUGAUUCUACAACGCUACACCAUUACCCUCUCCCCUACCUAUGUCCACUCACCAAUGCCUAUUCUCGCCAUUCGACCACAACAUGGAAUUCAAGUAAUACUUGAGUCACUGCAUAACAAUGCUUAAAGUACACAAUAGCUAAGGGACUUGAGGUUUAACUCAAUUUGUUUAUGUAUUCACCUUUAGGUGUUAAAAUUUAAUAUAUGUGGCACUUUUAACAUUAGUAACCCCUUCCUAUUCCUAUGCUAUACCCUACUCAACGCAAAAACAUGGUAAAACAUGCAAUCCAUAAAUAUAUAUAUAUAUGUGUGUGUGUGUGUAUGUGUGUUUCAGUAUUGUUGAUCAAUAUAUAAUUUUUACUAGCUAUGCCUUAUUUCAUUUGAAUUGCAGUAUUACAUCCUAAAGCCUUUCCACCAAGCAAUAGCAGCAAGAAUUAAACUAAGUUGUGAACAUCGAUACAUUGUACGAUAGGCUUGAUCAAGAGCAUUAGCCAAACAACAGCAGCAAACAUAUCCCAUAGAUGCCACUUGAUAUCAAACACCAUAGAUACCACUCGAUAUCAAGCACCACCAUGAAUUAAACAUGGGUCUCCUCUUGAUUCUAGGUUUAACGAACGACUCUGCCAUGCCAUUCCUCUCACAAUUUACAUGAUGAAAAAGCACCGAACCAAUCUCAAUCACAAUUCAAUGAAUGUCAGAAAAAUACCCCGAAGCUUCCUGUUGGGGUUAUCAGGACAUAGAACAAGGAAGCAAGAUGCAUGAAAUAUUUUUACUUGCUCACAAUCUUGCAGCAAGGGAGAUUAUGGCUGAUAGCUCAUUUUGCUCAUUCAUUCAACUAGAAAACAAUACAUUUAUAACCAAAUACAUCACUAAAUACUGCCUACUACCACUAAGUAGCCUAGUAACUUGUUAACAUUGCUUGUGCACAUAAACAAGCCACCUAAACUAGUCAUUCAACUACCUAAACACUUCAAGCUUUUAUCAGCUUGUUCAUUUUCAACUAAUUUAAUUACAAUGUAACUAAACAAAAAACUUGUUAAUGCAGCAUGCACAAGAGCUGCAACAUGCAAAUAGCUUGCAUGCACUUUAAAAAAAAUAUAACAACAGCAUGGUUGGCCACUUUUCAACACUUCCAUGGUCUUUCAGAUUUGUUUUUUAUACCAACAAUCAGACCAUUAGCGUAGCAUCUUUUCGAUUGGAUAAAAAGAGCAAGAGUAUGCUUAAUUGCUGCAAUUUCCGCAAGUCCAUUAUCUUACCUAAAUUCUCCACGAUCAAUUAUCUCGUUAAAUUCUUUACUGCCUUCAAUAUUACCACUACAGUCUAUUCUUUCGCUUCUAUCUUGAACUACGUUAAAAUCGCCCAGCACACCCAAUUACCAUUGUGAGAGCUUCUCAGGUCCAAGACCUUCUACCAUAGCACUUUUUGAUCAAUUACAGAACACGAAGCAUAUAAAUUUUGGAUCCAACACUCAAAGAAUCAAUAUCCCAGACGACCAAGAGACCUCUUGAGCGUCCAAUUGAAGGGGAGAAAGAGAAUCCAAAAACAUCAUAAGGCCACAAAGAUCUAAUCUUCUGAUCCUUCACACUCACCAUUUUACUUCCAUGAAGACAGUUCGUGUCCAAUUUAUUAAGAACUACUGCUAGUCUCACCACUUUGUACUUAAUUUUAUUACCAAUACCCCUGAUAUUCCAAGAUAGGAUCCACAUUUGGAUCAAAGGCAAUAAAGCCACAAAAAACACUAGCAAGUAUAAACACAACCAAAAUUUAAAGAAAACAGAAACCGAUGAAAAGACCAACCAAAAACCUGCAACACACCAGACCUGCAGCAUAUUGAAUCGACAUUCUUAACCAAGUUUCUAUCGUUGCAUUCUAAAGUAAUCAACUUUACCGAGUCUUCACAAUUCGCAGACAACCCCAAAAGCUUUCCCACAUUCCAAGUUCCUUCGCCACUUGACUCAAGGUUCUUCGCCUAUUCUGCAGAUCUGAGUCAGUGAGAGUCUGACUAGCAAAUCUAUCACUCUAGUUUGAGUUUCCCGACCCCUUCUUUUACUAGUUCUUAUCCUUCAAUGUCGUCGGAGGAUUUCACCCUUCUCUCCUUAGUAGCAACAACGACAAUUUCCCCAUCUAAAAGUUACCACAUGUCUUCACCUGGACUAGAAGAAGAGAACACCUUCUCCAUAGCCCUCCCUGCAUUACAGUCCACCAGGCAAGAUUGGCCCACAUCAGUAUUCAUCUCAUUAUUUGAUCCAUUCAACUUUGGGUCAGAAGGGAACCCAUCUUGAAUGUUCUCCCCAUUUAAGUCAAAACGUUGUGUCUCUUAAAUAGUAAUUCAAAACUUGUAAAAUUAACUGUAUCGAGGAGUGUUUAUCACAAUUUAUUAACAUGAUAGGUACAAAUUUUAAAUAUGUAAAAUAUCGUACUUAUACAUAAAUACAACAAUUUUUAUUCUAAAAUAAAUAAAGUUUAACUACUAACUAGAGUCAUUUAAUUAUUAAUUAUGCUGAACCAUUUUAUAUACAUAAACAUCAGAUUUUGUGAUACUUACUCGUGUGGACAAUUUAAUAUGUAAUGAUUAUUAAAAGCCUAAGAAAUGAACUCACAAACAUUAACAAUAAUUGUCUCAAUUACACAAUCUGGAAGUUUUGUUCUUAAACUAAUCAUUAAACAAAUAAUCUCUCAAAUGAUAGAUUGCGAUUUGAUAACUCAUAUGUAAUUAUAUUGUAGAUGCAUCUACUAAAAUAAUAUUUAAACAUUCUACUUUUCAGAUAAAUGAGCUCAUAUUUCUUUCAUAAAAAUGUAAGAGAUUCAAUCUCAAUUUUUGUUAGUAAUGUUCUAAUAAAUCACCUUCAUUGAGAACAUUCGACUCAUGAUAAUUACUUAAAAUGAAGAAUCUUUAUGCUCUUUAAUAAAUAUCCAUGUAAAUUCUUAUUUAUCGUAUCAUUAUUGAUUGAGAUGGUCUAACCAAUCAUGCCAAUUAAUUAGUAUAUUUAGACCAGUAAACUUCUGGUUACUAUUCACAUGAUUCAAUGAUACUAAUGUGAACUUUUGGUUUACCAUCUCAUAUUAUUUAACCAUACUAAUAUAUACAUUGUAACAAUUAGAGGAAAAGACCAUAGUUUUUCAAUGCAAAAUUCUUACUCAAUAUAAUAGAUUUAAUUAUUUGUCUCCUCAUCCACAAUUUCAAUAUAAUAUUUGUUACAACGUAUAUCCUUUUAAAACCUGAUAAUUUAUUUGAGACUAACUAGAUUAUAUAUAGUGCAUUAAUUAUCACUUUGUUCUUUGAAUAACAAUGUAUUAACUCUUCUGGAGCCUUGAAUUAAUUUUGUUUUAUAAAAGAUUAACGUGUUCCAUUAUCACAUUAAAUACAGGGUAACAAUAUAUUAAUUUUUCUAGAGCUUUAAAUUAAUUUUGUGCCACCAAAGAUGGGUUUGUUCAUUACCAAACAAAAGAUAUGCUUCAUACCUCAGGAUAGUAUGUACUGUUGUACUGUCUAUGAGACAUAUGUUUCCUUUCCUUUAAGAAAUAUUAAUUAAAUAAUAAAUUUAUCAAGUGUACGACAGGUAAAUAACUAACUACUUUUCAUAAAUUCUCUUUUCUUUCAAGGGUGGUAUUGAGAACUCUAAUUGUUCUCUUAUUUGUCUAUUUCUUUCCACUUCUAGUGGCCAAAAGUAAUUAUUACUAAUAAGAUAUCCAAGAAUCAAGUAAUGAGUACUGUCACAAUUCACAAUGCCUAGAACUACUUAUAGUCUCUUCCCAAUCCAUAAAUAGGAGGAUAAUGCACUUCAGCACACUCAAACCAACAUACUCCUGCAUUGACAACAAUACCCAUACUAAUCGAGUUAAGACUUAAUCGGUAAAACUUAAGUAUCAUUGGGUGACUGACGAUGUUGCUUGUUCUUCCAUAACACAAUGAUUUGGUGCAUUAAUAUUAGUAUCAUCUCACCCUCAAAAACGUAUAAAUAAUGACUAAAUUAUUUCAAGCCUCCUCAUUAAUGGUAAGACAUUACAGCACAGAUAUGAUAUUUUACCUUAUCUACGAAGGAACAAAAGGAAAGAUGACAACCAUAUCCCACUCAAUUACCAUUUAAAUGCUUUGUUAAAUAUGGAAAUCACAAUAGAAUAACUAAAGGAGCAACUGGAUUCAGUGUUGAGAGAAGGAAAAAUGAGUGGCUUGAUGGAGCUUGUGAUUCUUGUCGCGUGUUGUUUCUUCCUCGUAACUUUAAUCAAGUUCCUUUACGAUUAUCUGUGGAUACCUCUGCGUAUACAGNNNNNNNNNNNNNNNNNNNNNNNNNNNNNNNNNNNNNNNNNNNNNNNNNNNNNNNNNNNNNNNNNNNNNNNNNNNNNNNNNNNNNNNNNNNNNNNNNNNNAACCUGUGGCCUGGACAGAUGAUUUAUUUCCCAGACUACAGCCACAUAUUUACAGCUGGAUCAACAGAUAUGGUAAGAUCCAUGCUGUUUUUUUUCACUAAGAUUUAUAACUCGUAGUUCUAUGAAAGAUUGAUCCUUUUUCUUUUUAUGUGAUUAGGGAAGAAUUUUGUUUAUUGGGACGGUGCUCGAGCUGAAUUGGUGAUUUCUGAGCCUGAACUAGUUAAAGAGGUUUUGAAAAAUAGUGAAAAUAUUUUUCAAAAAGUGAAGCUUCCAGAAAUUAGUAGGAAGCUCAUGGGGAAUGGGCUUGCGUUCACUGAGGGGGAAAAAUGGGCAAAGUAUCGAAAGCUAGCCAAUCACACUUUCCAUGGGGAAAGCCUAAAGGUAAAUCCUCCAAAUAUAUAAACUUGGUGUAAUUAAUUUACGAGAAUUAUACAUACACUACAAUAUUUUAGUAAAAUUUUGUAUUGUUUGCUAGGGAUGAGUUUCUCAUCGAAGUUGAUAAGUAUCGUGAAAAAAUAUUUUUCAAAAGUUUGAUUAUGUUUACCACAUAAAAUGUUAGAUAUAAAUUAAAAAAAGUAAUUUCAUUGAAAGCAUUAUUCCAAAAAAAAAAAAAACAAAAUAAUUAUUUUUUGGCUUUCUAGCUUAGAAUAAAAUCUAAUUUGAAUUCAUGCAUGGUUUUGUGUUGAAAAGUGUUUUCCAUCGCUACUACUUACAUAUUGGAGGAUUCUUUGGACAGAACAUGACUCCAGCAAUGAUUGCUAGUGUUGAAACAAUGCUAGAAAAGUGGAAUGGCCAAGAAGGCCAGGAGAUUGAAGUGUUUCAAGAAUUUAGAUUAUUGACUUCAGAAGUGAUUUCCAAAACAGCAUUUGGUAGCAGUUACUUGGAGGGGGAGAAGAUUUUUGCCCUACUGUACAAGUUGAAAAUACUUGUUAAUCUAAAUAUGUCCAAGACUACAAUUCCUUUCAUCAAGUAUGUUCCCUAUAACCUUAGUUAAUCCCAAGUUUUUCCUUUAUUUCAAUUAGCUUUUGAAUGCAAAUUUUGGACUUUUAUUCCCCAUAGCUUUUGGUUUUCUCCUUAUAUAUAGCUUACCAUAGUUUGCUUUUCCAGCAAGCUAUGGAAAUCUACUGAUUUGCUAGAGUCUGAAAAACUUGCAAAAGGAAUACAAGAUUGUGUAAUAAAGAUUGUUAAGAAGAGAGAAGACCAAGUUGUGAAUGGGGAAGCCGAUAGCUUCGGCAAUGAUUUUUUUGGAUUACUUGUAGAUGCCUAUAAUGAUUUGGAUGAGAAAAAUAAGCUUUCAUUGCAAGACCUGGUAGAUGAAUGUAAAACUUUCUACAUUGCCGGACAAGAAACAGUUAAUUCCCUACUGGGAUGGAUAGUCUUGCAUUUGGCAAUCUAUGGAGAUUGGCAAGAAAAAGCAAGAAGGGAGGUGAUUGACAUAUUUGGUAACCAAAAUCCUCAUCUCGAAGGCAUCACCAAACUUAAAACAGUAAGCAAACAAUCAAACCAAGAUUUUAAAUAGCCUUCACAACAUGAUGUAAUCUAACAUAUUUUCUAUUUUGCAAACAGAUGACCAUGAUCAUCAAUGAAACUCUAAGAUUGUAUGGUCCGUCAAAUGGCUUGGCAAGAACAGUUGCAAGAGAAGUACAGUUGGGAAAGUUAGUCUUGCCUGCUAAAUUAGAUAUUCUGCCUCUAAAUAUUGGACUUCACCGUGACCCUCACUUGUGGGGGGAUAAUGUGCAUCUUUUUAAACCAGAGAGAUUUGCCGACGGGAUUGCCAAAGCUACCAAUUACACCGCGGCUGCAUUUUUGCCCUUCGGAUUGGGUCCUCGAUCUUGUGUUGGUAUGACAUUUGCAACAAUAGAAACCAAGAUUGCUCUCUCCAUGAUUCUACAACGUUACACCAUUACUCUUUCCCCUGCCUAUGUCCACUCUCCAAUACUUAUUCUCACCGUUCGACCACAACAUGGAAUUCAAGUAAUAAUUGAACCGCUACAUAAUAAUUUUUGAAUUACAUAGCUAUUAAGAGAUGACAAUUAAUAUAUCUAAGGUUCUAGCUUUUACUACCCCUUCUCUAUUCCUAAGCUAUUCCCACCUUUAUAUAUAAUGAUAUGCAAGUAGCUACCGGUUUNNNNNNNNNNNNNNNNNNNNNNNNNNNNNNNNNNNNNNNNNNNNNNNNNNNNNNNNNNNNNNNNNNNNNNNNNNNNNNNNNNNNNNNNNNNNNNNNNNNNGCAAUCAAUAAAAAAGAAUGUGUUAAGGCAAGUUUUAGGAGUAGUGACUCAAGAUGUGACUGUUACACUUGGCACUACGCAAGCCACAAAAUUUUCCUUAUUGUUGGUAAUUUUGACCCAAAUAUUUUGAUUAUUUUGCUUGCAUCUUUUUUAGAAUUUGAUGCGGUCGUUGAAAGCACAAAAAAUAUCUUAUCCCUAAUAAAUAAUGAAAAAGAAUAGUAAAAAGGAAGUUGGGUCAAAUCCUUAGGGACUGGACUUGCAAAAUAUCUUGCUCCGUAAAAUCCUAGGCAAAAUCUUGCCCAAGAAAACUUAGGUGCCUGAAAAAAAUAAAAUAAAAAAAUAACAUAAUAAAAUGUUUGGAUUUGAAAACGAAAAAUAAAAUAAAAACAAAUUUAAGAAUAUUGAAUCUAAAAUUAGAGAAAUUAAAAAUAGAAUUGAGAGAAAAGAAAUUCUUAUGGGAGAUUCCAGCCUCCAGUUGUCUCGUUCCGCCUUGGGUUCAAUCCUCGGCUUUUAGAUGAUCCUUCCCAAACCCAAUAAGCCAGUUAUAGUGGAAGAGGACGCCUACGACCACCAGCUCCAAGGAUUUAGACUUACGAUUUAGUGGAAUUUGACUCUAGCCAACAAUCACUUCUGUGGGAUCGUCUUAUGCUAGAUCAACGCUUCUCAAUGGCAAAUCCCACGCCAUUUUGUCUCUUGGGCUCGCCAACCUCUGACGCAGUAAGCUAACGAACCGACUGUGCAACCUUCCCAAAACANNNNNNNNNNNNNNNNNNNNNNNNNNNNNNNNNNNNNNNNNNNNNNNNNNNNNNNNNNNNNNNNNNNNNNNNNNNNNNNNNNNNNNNNNNNNNNNNNNNNACAUGGACGGAAGCGUCAGCCCCGUAGUGCGGAGAAACGAAGAAUACUCAGCGAGGAGGCUAAGUACGAAUUCUAAGCCUCAUGAACUCUUUUGGGGAUUUUUGACAACCUUCGGCUAGAUGGGUUUAGUGGCUCAUGGUUGUGGUAGAAAAGAAAAUAAAUAAAUAAAAAUAAAGAUUUUAUUAAAAAGAAAUAUGAGAAGAACAAAAGCCUAAACUUUUGGGGAGAAAGUGUUUUUAGAAAAAUAUCUGGAUCCCCUUUUGAGUCACUUCACCCCCUAUUUAUAGUGCUAGGGGAGAUAGUCUAAUCCUACUUAAAUUCCUAAAAGAUAAAUACAUUUAAUUGAAGAUAAAUAAAGAUAAAAUAAAAUCCUAAAAAUAAUCCUUAAUAAUUAUCUCAAUAUUAAUUAUCCUAAUAUAAUUAAAAUAAAGUUUAAUAGAAUAAAAUCUCUUCUUUUUGCAUUUCAACCCUUGUGUCCUCCAUGCUUGCACUUUUGGCACCAACUUUUCCUCUUGUGUCGCACAUUGGCCCAUUUUAUCUCUAAAUUCACGCUUUUGGCCCUAAAUUUUGCUUUUGCCUCAAAUUUAGUCCCUAUGAGAUAAAAGAUCAUAAAUAGCUCAAAUUAGCAAGAUCAUACUCAGAAUAAAUACAUAAUUAAUACAUAAAAAUACAUUAUUCUAGAGUGUUAUCAGAAUAUUGUUUAGAUAAUCUCGUGUUUAUUAUUAAAGAAGAGAUUGAAUCAAAUAAAAUUACUUUUCAAGGAUUCUUAUGUGGCCUACUUACCUUAUAUACUAAGAUAUGCAAUCCAAGAAGAUGUAGACUAACUUUAUGAUAUUUUAUAUCCUUAUAUUAAUGAUAAUUGAUUUGAUGAGAUUUUGAUAAAUCAAGAUGAAUUAAAAGUUACUUUGUGAAGGUGGGUUUGUGCUCUAAAUAUGGAAGGUGUAAGGCCCAAUAUUUGCCCGGCUCAUAAACCAAAAAAUAAGCCAGUUAAAAGCCCAUGAAUCAAAAAAUAAUAAUACAAAAACAAAAUUAAUAAUAGUCUAAAUGUCCAUUUACAGACAUCAAACCCAAUCAACCCAAUUGGCCUAGAUCCUAGCCCAAACCUAAACCCGAUUCUAAUGCCCAUCAGCCAACCCCAGCCCAAUGGCCCAAAUCCACCGAAACCCUAGCCUUCUUUAGCAGCAUUCACCCCCCAACCGCCGCAACAGUGGCCUCCUCUCCCUAGCCACGCGCACCUCACGCACGUAGCGCCAUCACGAGCCUCCAGUUGGCCUCGUACGGCCUCGCACCUGCAACAACCUGCAGCGAACGCAACAAACAAAGCAGGGGCAGAGCAAAACAACAGAAAAUGAUAGCAAAAAGGGCAGAAAUAGUAGGAUAUUCUUGGGGAACUUUUUUCAUUUUUUCGGCAAUAAAAAUGCCAUUUUCCAGCAUUUGUAAGGGAGGGGGGAACGCAUAUUGUAGAACAUACGCAGAAAAUCAAUACAAAAGAAAGAAAAAAAAAAGGUUUUCUUUUCCUUCCACUUUCUUUUCUUCUCCGAUGGUUUUUUUCUUAUCGUUUGUUAUUAGCCUCAUAUAAGUCUAUAUAUAUAGAGCAAAUAACAGAAAGAGGGAGAAGUUAGAACUCUUACCUGGCCGCCGGAUCUCUGACCAUCUCCGUCGCCAUCGGAGUCUCGGCAGGGGUCGAGAGCGCAAGAGAGGCGCAGAGAGGAGAGCGUUUAAGUUCUCUAUUUUUUUGUUUUUUUAUUUAUUUUAUUUUUCUUUUAUUUUUUCUCUUUCUUUUCGUUUUGAAAGAAUGAAAGGAUGCCUAUCAGAUUAGGGUUUUAACUUUGGCCCUUAUGAGAUGUGAAACGACGCCGUUUGGAGUCUGAUCAGUGGCUCCAAAACGGUGCCAUAUUGGAGCCAUGACCCGAUAACCCGAUCCGAUCGUGGCUUGACCCGCAUGUUUUGAAAAGGGAGGGUUAUUUGCGCUCCAAGUCCUCCUUGUUUGUGUUUGGUUUCAAGUUGGUUUAUGCUGCUUCUUUUAAAUUUGGCCUAUCAUUUCAUUUCUGUUUCAUUUUAGUCCGUGUUGAAACGCUGGGUGUUAGGGUGGGGAUUAUUUCCUGAUUGGUCAUUCGCCCUUUUAGCGCAUUUUAUUUUGGUCCCUGGACCAUUCUUUUAGUUAUUUACAGCUUUAAUCUCGAAAUUCAUCUUAAUUUUUAAUUUAGUCUUUUUAUUAUUCUGUUUAUUUUUUAUUUAUUUUUAUUUAAAAUUAAUAAGUUUAAUAUUAUCACCAUUGGUAUUACCUAUUAUUGCCAUAUUUCUAUUUAUUUGUUUAGCUAAAUGUAAAUAUCUUUAAAUAUCUUUAUUAUUAUUAUUUUUUACCCACUUAUACUGUUUUUAAACUUUGUUUUAUAUAUAUAUAUAUAUAUAUAUAUAUAUAUAUAUAUAUACUUAUAUAUAUUUUUAUAUUCUAUAAUCUAUAUGCAUUUUUAUUUAUAUAUAUGUAUAUACAUGCGACUUCUAUACUUUAUAAUUUUUUUAAAUAUAUAUAUAUAUGCACGUAUACAUUUUUAUAACCUAUACAUAUAUUUAACAAUUCCUAAAUAUAUAUUUUUAUGUUCUAUUGUUUUAAAUAUGUACAUACUUAUAUUUUCAUAUAUAUUUCUAUAAUUUAUAUAUAUUAAUAUAUCAAUACACAUUUUAAUUUCACGAAUAUAUAUAUACUUACAUGCUUUUUUAUCUUACAAAUUUUUUAUACCUAUAUAUACAUAUAUAUAUAUUACUCUUGUAAUUUUAUUCAUUUCUUUAUUUAUCUUUUAUUUAUAUUUUCAUCAUCAUUUAGAAUGAAUGUUAUAAUUUUAUUGCUUAUAUGUUUGCAAUUGUGUAUUUUAUUAGUUUGUCUUUGUAUUUAUUUUACUUCGUAGCCCUCGUUUGUAUUAUUUUGCUUACAUCAUCAUCAUUCCAUUACGCCCAUUUUAUUUAGAUUUUCAAAAAAAAGAAAUUUAAAAAAAUAUAAGUAAUAAUCAGUAUUUGGGAUCUUCGAAAGAAUCAAGCCCUAACGUAUUGGGUUCCGAUUUUCUUCGUUGAAUCUAAAUAAUCGAGAUUUUCUUUACAUACAAAUUUCAAAUAACCCAUUCUCGGGAAUUCGACACGUUGUGUCCUAACGCAUUGGAUAUGACAUGUUAUUUUCUCGAGACGAGGAUUUUUCUAACAAAGGCAAUAUUCGAUAUUUAGGGAUAUUGUGAAAUCAAGCCCUAACUUACUGGGUCUUGAUUUUCUCAUUUAAUUCAAAUAAUCGGAUAACCUUCUCAAAACGCAUGGGUUUUAAAAGUCAAGAGAUAAAUUUAAUUUUGAAGAUUUAAAAUGUUGCACUCUAACUUACUGAGUGUGACGAUUUAUUUCUUUGAAAUAAGUGAAUCUCAUCGUCUAAUUCAUUUUAUCCAAAAGAAAAGGAUCGUAUUUUAAAAUCUUUUCAAAAUUUCGACAUUAAGACGUUAAACUAUCAAUUCGGUACCAAUUUUGGGCGUUACGAGGGUGCUAACCCUUCCUCGUGCGUAACUGACUCCCGAACCUAUUUUCUCAGAAAUUCGCAGACCUAAAAUUAUUUUCAAGGUGACCCGAUCACACCUUAAUAAUAAAAGAUCGGUGGCGGCUCCCAAUUUUCAUUUUCAAAAGUCGAUCCACGGUUUUCUAAAAUGGUUUCGAUAGAAGGCUUGUUCAACCUUGAUAAAUGUUUUAUCAUUGAGGUAGACUUUUUUGAAGUAGUUGCCAAAGUGCCAAUGGUAGUGUCCUUCGUAUCUAGCACUACAACAAGCAACAAAACUUGUCAUUUUUGGUGUUGAAAAUCUUUUCCACAAAAUCAAUUGUGCAAUGACUUGUGGACGUGUGCUGGUACACGGUUUACAAAUUGAUUUUCAUGAUAUUUGAAUGUAUUUGAAAAUGUUUACAAAUUGGUACCAAAGAUGAGAAAGGAUCGAAUUGUAAAAUGAUGUUUAGAAAUGUGUACUAAGCCCGAAUGAACAUAUGAUAGGAUACAAUUGGCAUGCCAAUAGGGGUAUUUCGCACGCUGUAUGGGUUUGAUAUGUGAUGAGGUAAUGAUGUGCUGAUCACACUGAUUGUAUCAAAAUUUAGCAUUUAUUGCGAAUUAUUAAGUUAUAGUUACAGUGAUUCAGGUGUAUUUUGGGGGGAGGAUGUGUAGCCUAUAAGCUUGGCACUCAGUGCCCAGGUGUGUUUCUGGAGGGAUGUAUAGUCUACAGGCUUGACACUUAGUGCCCAAGUGUGUUCAUCAAUGGUAUGGCUCGUUUGAGCAAUCAUAUGUGUUUUAAGUGGUUACCCAUGUAUUCGUAUUUGUUCAUUAUAGUUCAUCAAGUUAACGGUUUUUAUAAAUGGGACAUUGGUUGAAUAGUAAUAAAUAUAAUAUAAUAAAUGAUAGAUGAAUGAUGUAAAGUUUGCUUAUGUUCAAUGGUUAGUUGACAUGAUAUUGAUUUGGAUCAAUUUGUAUAAUAUGGAAUGAUAUGACUUAAAUGUGAUGAACUCACUGUUGAUAUGAAUUGUGGUAAUAGGAUAAAUCGUUUAGUUAAUUGUUUUGUCAUGUAAUUGUGGGAAUUAAGGUAAGUUACAUUGUUUUAAACCUAUGAACUUACUAAGCUUAUUUAAAGCAUACUCUGUUUCAUUUUCUAUUUCUUGUAGUUAACAUUUUGCAGAACUAGGUGAUAGGAUCAUCUCGAAGGUCAUACUAUCCAACCUCCACUUUGGUAGACUUUUAAACCAUUAAACUCAGUGAUGUGGCAUGUAAUAGGAGUUGAUUUGUAAAUACAUGUUUUGUUGAAGUUGAGUGUUAAAUGGUGAUGUAUAAUUGUAUAUAUGUUUGUUAGCAAGUUGAUAUGCUAACUUUUGACUUGAAUGAUAGCAUUUGAAUGUAAUGUUUUGGUGAUAGGGUCAUUUAUGCGUGAUGAUAAUUUGGUGUUUGGAUUUCAUAUAAGGCAUAUAUGUGAUCAUAAUCUAAUUGACAUGAGAUAAGAUUAAUUACUUGAAUUGAUGCAUGUUAUAUUAUGGUGCUAUUGAGGCAUAUUAAUUAGAUUCUAGGGAUCAUGGUUUGUGAUUUAUUUUGGCAUGAAAUUGUACAUUUUGGAUGAGUUAUCAAGUGGAUAGUUAUUAUGCAUAACUUAGGUGAUGAAUUGAUUUUGAUAGUUUGUUGAAAAAGGUACCUUUUUUGUAUACACAGGCUAACACACGGCCAAAUAUUACACACGGGUAAGUGACAUGGUCGUAUGCUUUGUUUUUAAUUGGGAGGUUUUGGGUUACACAGUUCCAAUUUGUUACAUGGGGUGACCACACGCCCAUGUGAUACUGUAGAUUUGGUCAUUAGAAUUUCCACACGGUUUUAGUCUCUCUCACAGCCUAGCCACACGGCCGUGUGAUUGUUUGUAAGUUUUUGCAUUUAGGUUCCCACGAUUUCAUUGAGUUACACGGCCAGGUUGCACGACCAUGUGACUUGAAUUUCGCACGGUCACCGAUCGUAACACGGCCUAAGCACACAACCAUGUAACCCUGUAUUGCAAAUUUCUCCUUGAUGUUUAAAAGUUUGUAAUUAAGUCUUUAUUUGUUUCUAGGUUGGUUUAAGAGCUUUCAUAAGCUUGAUUGAGACUCGUAAUUGUUUGUAGGUCAUAUUAUAAAUGAACUAUAAAUUGUUUUGUUGUUUCAUUGAAUGUUAAAGUUAGAAAUGUAUGUGAUUUAUUCAAUUAACUGUUGUAGAAUCCUGUAGCUCGGGCCCGACAACCGGACCGGGUGAGGGGUGUUACUUACCAAUAAUGAUGAUCAAGUGGAAUGUUCCAAGAAGUAUGUUUUGAUCCUUGUUGAAAUCUCUAACCAUCAAGUUAUUUUUUCAUUAUUGUGGAGCUCUUGGUCAUAUUAGACCUAAAUACUUUAACAUGUUGAAAGAUUAAUGGUGGAAGCAAGUAGUGGCAGAACCAACGCCCACUGCUCCUAUCACUGCUCCAGGUCAAGGGUAAAAAUCUAUAUGAGGGAGAAUGAGAGGUCAUCUCAAGGAUUUGAUGAACAUAAGAAGAGAAACUGGGUUAUCUAUCAUUAUUGUAAUAUGGUUGGUCAUAUCAAACCGCAUUGUUAUAAGAUGUUGAAUGACCUAAUAUGACAAUUGUUUGAAGACAAGUUGCAACUCAAUCAAGAUACAACUAGAAACAUGUAUGGGUGAGAAAAGAUUGACAAUUGAUUGAUGUAUGUUAGAAUCGUGAAGUGGAAACUGACGCAACAACUUUUGAAAAUCAAGAUGAAAAUAUUUAUGCUCUCUAGAGAUCUUGUGGUAAAAAUCCUUGUUGCUCCAUGAGUUGUAACUCUCACCUACAGAGCUAUUGAUAAGUUAGCAUCCAUUGCACCCUAUGUUGAAACACCUUAUUGAGGGGGAGUGUGUUAAUGCUACAAUUAAGGGGGAGUUUCUUCUUUGCCAUGCUUUUUGUUAUUGAUUCUGUUUAUUCAUGAUGUUGCCUACAUGUUAUUACUUUAUGUAAUUGAUAAAACUUUAGCUUAUGGAGAUGUCGAGAAGAGCGGCAACCUUGGCCAAACUGCUAGGUAAUGCCAUAAUAUAACCCAUGGCCCAUCCAUUAGCACCUUUGAGUAAUCAUCGUCAUCCUGAAACUUGAUCAAGUAAAAAUCUUUCUUCAAAUCCAUUAAUUGAAUGGAUUUAUUCAGCUUUCAGAGUACAUACACCUUGUUAGAGAAAGCAUUAAAAGUUAUGCGUCGGCCCAAAAGUUUGAUGUUGACAGUACCCACACCAUACGCUUCUCAAUAAAUUUGUGAACCUGAUUUGAAAAACUAAGAGAAGGUAUUCCAUCAACAUUAGUCGUUGUGAUGUCCCCCUCAUGGAACUCAAAAUCAUCAUCUUGUGAAACACUAGAAUGAUGUAAUGAAGAACCCAAAAAACGUGUCCUUAAAGGAUGUCCUAGGCAUCAUUGGUUCCUUCAUCUGCAAACCAUUCCUACCAACCAUCUGAUCGUCAAUAUCCGGUAGCUCAUCCGGUCGCCUCCAUACCUUCUUGGUUGUCUGACCAAAGUUGACACUGGAAGUAGCGGAGUUGGAGCCAAUCACAAAAGCACCUCUGGAGAAAUUCUAUAACAUGUAAGUCAUUUAAUCAAUAAGAUAAAUCAAUAAUCAAUAAUCGCUAUAUGAUUAUUUUAAUACUCGUAAGUACCUGCUGCUCCAAAAUAAUAAUAAUUAAGCCUAGACCUGAAUUUGAUCUGCUCCAACAAUUUGUUUCAUUACUAAUCUAUUAAUAAAAUGUUGAAAAAUAUAUUUUUUAUAUUAAUAUGAUCAUUAAAUUUAUAUUAUUUUUAUUUUUUAAAUUGAAUUUAGGUGAGAUGAAUGAAAACUAAUAUUAAAAAGGGCAUAAUUUUCUAUUAGAUCUUGUACUUUGCGUAAGUUAUGGAUUUAGUACUUAUAUUUUAAUUUGGUUAUUUUCAGUUCUUGUACUUUUAAAUUUGAAAAUUUUAGUCAUGACCAAAUGAUUUAUUUUUAAAAAUUGAUGUGUCAAACAUAGUGUCACAUAUGUAAUGCUAUGUUUGUUUGUUAUUUUCACAUUUUAUUCACAAAAAAUUAAUUAAUAGAUUUAACGACUGUCAUUUGCAUUAAGAUUAAAAUUUUGAAAUUCAAAAAAAUCUAAUUGGUGAAUAUGGACUAAAUCUAUAACUUUAUGCAUAAUACAAGAAUAAUGACAUAAUUUAAUCAAAUAAAUUUAACUGUUACCAUUAAAUCAGGACUACAAUUUCAAAAUUCAAAAUAAAUAAGAAUUAAAAUUAAAGUCUGAAGUUUAAUAUCAUAUUAGACCUAUAAAAAAAAACUCUCCGUCUAAAGUCUAAUCCAAGCCGGGCGUCCUACUCGGCAUGUGAACAAAACUACUCAUAAGGCGUGAUAGACAUUGAUGUUUUAACUUAUAUAAUAAUAUGUCUGACUUAUACUUCCAACUAAUCUUUAUGUUGUUCGAAGGAUCCAAAAGGAAAAAAGGACACUAACCCAUAUCCAGGAAUUGCUGACACGUUUUUUUUUUGUCUUUUGUUUUUUUAAUGAUUGAGACAAGACUAAUACGACGGAGUUAAUUAUUGUGAUGAUAACUACCGAUUAUUAAAAAAACCCCUUAAAUUACAAGGAGCAUCUGUUAUUGAGACUACAAGGAGCAUCUGAGUUCAGAAUUAAGACAAGCAAAAUGAGUGGCUUGAUGGAGCUUGUAAUUCUUGUCCCAUGUUGUUUCUUCCUCGUAGCUUUAAUAAAGUUCCUUUAUGAUUACCUGUGGGUACCUCUCCGUCUACAGCAUCUGAUGAAUUCACAGGGAAUCAAAGGACCUCCUUACAAAUUCAUCCAUGGAAACAAUGAAGAAGCUACCAAGAUGAGACAAGAAGCAUUAAGCAAACCUAUGGCCUUGAAGCAUGAUAUAUUUCCUAGAGUGCAGCCACAUGUUUACACCUGGAUCAACAGAUAUGGUAAGAUCCAUGCAUAUUUUUCACUAUAGUGUUCCAAUAUAGUAGUAAAUGAAAAUUUGUAAGUAAUUAAAAGUUGACUUGGUUACUAAUAAAAGUUGUUUAUUCAAAAGUGAUGCAGUUACUUGAUUAUUAAUAAAAAAAAUUAGGAUUAUUUUAGUAAUAAAUAAUGAACAAUUGUAUUUAUUUUUAACAAAUAAACAUCUAUUAAAUAGUUAUAUUUUUAUAAGUAGACAUUAGAAUUCGUAUAGAUAAGAGAGGAAUUUCAUUUUUAUAUGCUAAAAACCCAAAAACAAAGCAUUUAUCCAUUCUCCUUCAUCUUCAAAUAUUCAAAGGUUGUUUUAUCAAGAACUAUUGCAGAAGUUUUUAUAGAAUAUGAUACUUUUCCUAAUGUUCAGUGUACUAUUUUCAUUAAUAUAAAAAAGUGGCGUUGGUUAAUUUUUAUAAGUUUAUUUGUAUUCUUACCCACCAGUUCUAUUAAAUAGUUAUAACAAAAUUGACCCGUCAAAAGUCUUUGCUUCAUUCUCGUUACACGACAAUGAGGAAAGAGAAACAGCUGUAACAGGUCAAUUUUGACCUAGGCCUAAAGACCCAAAACAAAUGAAAAUAACCCAAAAAUUACAGCCCAAAGCCCAGUAAAUUAAAAUUUGUUUCAGCAAAAAAACCUAGCCCUAGCCGCAUGCACACCUCUGCCAGGUGCGCCGCUCCAGCUCCUCACACGCCGCCGCCGCCCAAGGCUCGCCUACCACCGGUCGUCCACGCGUCUGACACCUGCGAAAAUUAAAUAUAAUGGCAAAAAGGAAGCACACGAGCAAUAAUAAUAGUUAACAGAUAAUAAAGAAGAAGAAAUCAUUUUGAUUCGGCUAUAAAAGCCCGAAUCUCACCGUUGUUUUUUUUUACGAACACACAUCAGUGAAUCAAGAAAUACAGAACUGAGAUUCUAAAAGGUUGAUAGAAAUCUGAUUAUUUUCUUUAGUUUUUUCUGAUUUCCGUUUCUUAUCAUCUAUCAUUUAUUUAUUUCAUUUAUUUAUCUACGCAUUUUUUACGAAAUUUUUACAAAGAAAACGUGAAAAUAAAAAGGGAAGAGGGGACUUACCGAGGAAGCGCCGGGAUCCGGCUCACGGAGGGUUCUCCUCCUUUGCGACCGCCGGAUCUAGAGGGUGCUGAGAAUCUUCCUCUUUUCUUUUUUAAGGUUGAAGGGUUCAGCCCUCGGGGUAUUCUAAGGCCGAGGUCUUUGACCUCUUUUUCUCCGUCGUCGGCCACCGGUCUUCAUGGCUGCGGCGGCGGUGCACUGGAGGCUAAGAAACCCAAGGGUCGGUGUUUGAAAAAAAGGGAAUGAUUUUGAAACUAAAAAAGGAAAAAGAAAACAGAGGCAAGAAUGAGAAUUUUUCUUAAAUGCACCAAAUAAAAAGGCGCCAUUUGAGGGGAAGACCUGCGCAUUCUUACCCUAAUGGGUAAUUUGCGCGUUUGGUCCCUCCAUUCGUCGCUGAGAUGCAAUCUGACCAUUUUUUUUCUUUCGAUUUGGCCCGCGAGUUUUGUCUCCGCUUCAAGCAGGUCCUCUGACUAUGCGCGAUCACUUGCCUUGAAAUGCCGCGUCUAAGGGGUUUAGGAUAUUUUCUUCUUCGCUCCCUGAUACUUUCAGCGCGUGGCGAAUUGGUCCCUUUUUCCUCUUUGUUUUUUUAUAUUUAUCCCCUUUGUUUUAUUAUGAUUUCAAUUGCACCCUUGAUCCUUUUAACACUAUUUUUAUAUAUUUUUAAACUGUCUUUUUUAUUAUUUAAGACUUUCUUUUAUAUAUUUUAUUUUAAACUAUUUUAGAUUAACUAGUAUUUAUCUCAAGUUUUUUAUUUUAUUUAUUUAUUUAUUUGGUUUAAAUUUAUAUGUCAUCAUCUUAUAUAUUAUUAUAUUAAAAUAUUUUAAUAUUCAUAAUUUCAAAUUGUUGAUACAUUUUUAUAAUAUAUAUUUACGUACAUACUUUUCAUUUAUUAUAAAUAUACUUUUUAUAUUUUAUAUUUCAUAUUUUUAUGUAUACAUAGAUAUAGGCAUAAAUACAUACAUCUUAAUUCAUAUAUAUGUAUAUAUACGUACUUAUACAUACUUAAAUAUAUUUUUCAUAUUUCAUAAUUCUUAUAUACUUACAUAUAUUUAUACAUAUUUUACAUCAUAUACAUACUUAUAUAUAUUCUUUAUAUUCUUAAAAAUACUUUUUGUAUAUUUCACAUAUUUUAUAAUUCACAUACAUAUAUUUUAUAUUAUUACAAUUUGUAAAUAUAUAUAAACACAUAUUUACAUUUUUAUUUUUAUAAUACUUACCGAUUUUUUAUAUAUGUAUAUAUUUAUCUAUGUUUUCAUACUCUAUAAUUUAUAUGCAUUUCUUAUUUUUAUGGCUUAAAAUUAUACAUGCAUAUACAUUUUUACAUAAUUGUAUUUAUUGUCAUCAUUGUUAUUUGGUGUUUGUUUAUUUAUUCAUGUACACUUGUGCUUUUCUAAAAUGUUAGUUCUAUUUAUUUAUUUGUUUGCUUUGUUUAUGUAAUCGCCUCGUCAUUUCAUUUUGCCUAUUGUAUUGUUGUUACUCACUUUACUUUGCUUACCUUGUCGUAUUCGUUAUUGUUUUGUCAAGCAUUAACACCAAACAUCAAAAGGAAAGUUUUUCUAAAUAAGGCAAUAUUUCGCGUUUGGAAAAUCGAGAAAACGUGCCCUAACGUGCUGGGUUUCGAUUUCUCGUUCGACCAAAUAGCCAAAUAUCCUUUUUAAACUUUUAAAUAAGGCAAUAUUUCGCGUUUGGAAAAUCGAGAAAACGUGCCCUAACGUGCUGGGUUUCGAUUUCUCGUUCGACUAAAUAGCCAAAUAUCCUCUUAAAGCUUCAAAGUAUGGUUUCAUUAAACUAUAAGGUGAUCUUGGUUUCGAUGGUUUAGAGUAUCGUGUCCUAACGUGCUGGAUGUGAUAUUCCUUCGGAACAAGAGAAUCUUAUAUUUCAAUUCACGUUAUCAGAGUUUCUUUUAAGGAUUGUAUUUUUAAAACUCUUCAAAUUUUUAAUUUUCGACACUAAGACACUAAUUAAUCAACUAUGUACCAAUUUUGGGCGUAUCGAGGGUGCUAAUCCUUCCUCGUGCGUAACCGAUUCCGAACCCUUUUUUUGAAUUUUGUAGACCAAAAUCUUUGUUUUAAUAAAAAUUAAAUCGUUUAUUAAAAACAACCACUUUUCGAGGUGACCCGAUCACACCUCAUCAAAAAAGAUUGGUGGCGACUCCCGUUUUCAUUCUAUUUUCAAAAUCUAAGUCGACCCCGUUUUCAUAAAAAAAAAAUGGUGUCAACAAUCAAUAAUAAAAAUUGGUAUAAUUAGAAAAUAAUAUCUAUUUGUUCUCACACUAACUUUUAAUAUUUAUAUAUUAUUUUAUAAAGAAUUAUUAUAAAAAAAUCUUUUAAAAAUUGAUAUUUUUAUAAUACAUCACUCAAUGUUGAAUACAUUUCAUUAAUAAACAAUAAUUAGCUUAAUUAUUAAGAGUUGAAUUAACUAUUUUUUAAUGAAGCAUUCUCUCUCUAAAAUCUCCAUCCUCACCACUAUUCUUACCUAAUUCACCUUCAAGUUUUAAAAUCAAUGUUCUAUCAUGUUUUGAUUUUCUUUUAAAUUUAUUUAAAAAUUCCUUUUUAAAAAUCUCAAAUAUAAUCAAUAACUAUUGAGUACAAUGGUAAAAUAUAUUGUAUUUCACACUUUUAAGAAAAUAAUGUACGUUCAAACAUGAAAAAUAACAUAAUUAAAUAGGAUAAUCUCGAAUCUUGAAAAUGAACCGUAAAACGAUUUGUUCAAUUCAAAAUUUAGAAUGAUAGAAUUUUAAUAGAAAAUUUAACCUAAAUUUUGAUAUAAUGUUUUGAGAGGAAGAAAGAAGAUGAGACAAGAAUUACAAACUUCAUCAAGCCACUCAUUUUUCUGCUCUUGCUUCUGAAUUACAGCCUGAUGUUCCUUUAGUAAUUAUAUCAUGUUUGAUGCUAUUUUGUCCUUUUUACUUGUAAAUUAGAAGAGAUGCUCCCAAUUAUUCAUUCAUCCUCUCAUAUUCAACUGCUUAUUGUAAACUUUAUUUAAAGGAACAAUGAUUUAUCUAAUCUCCAUGAAAUUUCUGUCACUAUUUUUUUAUUUUUUAUUUCUAGCCAUUGUUGACUAACUGCACUUGUUAGUGGUGGAGCGGGUGCCGGGUACUGUACUUAAAAUGGAAAUUUUUUUAUUUUACACCUUUUAUAAUUUAUAAAAUUUUAAAUUAAUAAUAAUAAAAUUAUAUUUUGACUCCUCUAAAACUGAUAAAAAUUUAAUUUGAUCUUUCAAAAAUUAUAAAAUAUAAACUAUUAAAAUAAUGAAAUUACAUAUUUUAUAUUACAUAAACUAUUAAAAAUUUAAAAUAUAUUUCGAAUAUUUUGAUAUAAUUAAAAAUAUUUGUUUAAACUAUCCUUUUAAAAUAUAUUUAAUAUUUUAAUAUAUAAAAAAAUCCGUAUUAAAAUUUUAAAAUAUUUAAAUAAUCACGUUUUAUAUAUAUUGAAACACGUUUGAAUUAUAUUUUAAAUUAUUACGUGAACAAGCUAUAUUCUAUAAAAAUGCUUUUAAACAAAUUACACUUUUGGUCCUUUAUUUUUGAAAAUUUGUAGUUAUGUCACCUAACUUGAGAUUUUUUAUCACCGAAAUUUGAAUUAGAAUUUCUUGGUUCAGUACUUAAAAUUUUCUAGAUGUUCAACAGAUUUGAUAAUGGAAUAUAUUUAUUCCAACUUUACAUUUAAAGAAUAUAAAUAUAAUAAAGUAAAAGUUGAUAUAUAAUCUUAAUUUUGGAUAGACUAUUUUCAAACUUAAUGCCACCAACAACUCCUAGAAAGAGUAUCCACUAAUAACAAUAAACUUACAUGAGUGAGGGAUUUCUUUUUGAAAGUUUGUAGUUAUGUCACCUAACUUGAGAUUUUUUCCAACUUUAAAAUUAAAGAAUAUAACUAUAAAUAGACUAAUUUCAAACUUAACGCUACCAACAACUCCUAGAAAGAGUACUAUCCACUAAUUAUAGCAAUAAACUUACAGGAGUGAGGGAUUUCUUGAAACAAUCAGCAACCAAUUUUGACUCUUUUUACCAAUUAUUUUAUAUAUUUAUUUGUAUUUUGAAGUUAACUUUAAAAUAUUCUAUAUAAAAUGAAUUUAAUAACAGUAAAUGGACUUUUACGUUUACGAAAUUUGACCAAAUGGAAACGUUUCAAUGUGACAGACUAUAUGGAAUCCAAAUUAUAGCUGAUGAAAUGUUAUUUCUUUUAAUUAUUAAAAACAUUAUAAUUAAGAGAUAUGAUUAUUUUAAUAAAUAGUUAUAAUUAUUAUUAAAAAAUUUCACUAUUUAAAUAGUAUUAUGAAUAUCUUAUUAAGUGGAUAUCCAUCAAGAUCCAUAUAAGUCUUUGAUGUACUUUCAAUUCUAAUAGUCAUUAGAAGUAGGUUUUGCAAAUAUUCUGAUUGAUCAAUAAAUUACGCUCAUUCUCAUUCUCCUUGUUCUUUAUUCUUUGUCUUUUAUUUUUUAACACGUUAUCAUAACGAUUCUCUUUUAAUUGUUUUUCUCCAUAAGUCACAAAAAUAUCCAAAAUUUUAUUGUUGUCAAUUGCCUCCUAGAGCUGCUACGCGCACUAUGGGUAAUCAUUAGAGCCUUUAAACAAUUAGGUACACAUAAAUCUCUAAAAUUUUUUUAUGUCCUUUUAUGCAAAGAAAUUUAUAUAUUUCUUACGUGGUAUGUUUUUCUCCUUUAUUUAUUGAUUUUUGGAAAAAUUAUUUUACAAAAAAAAAGUAUUAUUACUUUAAGGUUUCUUUUAAACUAAGAUUCGCAUAAUAUUUAGAUGUUUAAAGAUUUGAUUAUUGAAUUCCUGUCAUUAAAUAUUCUUGUAAUAUGAUUAAAAUUAUAGUGGAAAGUGUUAUUAACCUACCAUAGUUGAUCUAUUGAGUCUUACUAACUUUCUAAUGUUGAAUGAUUGUAUUAUAUAUUUUAAAUUGAAUUUAUAAAUAUUUGAUUAGAAGCUUCAAAAGAUUUUAUAACAUAUAUAUGGUUUUGAAAUUCGGUACAAUGUGUAUCAAAUAACUUUCAAGUAUUGUACACUAAAAUUUUGAUUUUGUUUAUUAAAUGAUUUUUUUACUAUUAGAUUAUAAAUGUUAUUACGAAAACAAAAUUGUUUUACUACUUGUAAUAUUGCUCGUGAUAAUAGCCAAGGUGAUACAAUGAUGUUAAAGAAUCUCAGGUAUAUUUUAUUAUAAUUUAUUUAUUAUGCCAUGUUUAUUAUAAUUGGAGACUAAUCACGACAACAUGAAUAGAUAGAUUUUGAUUUAAAAUCCACGCAUGUUUUGCAAUGGUGAUUAUGAAAUAAAGAAUCAAUGGAGGCGUUUAGAAGUAUGCCCCACUAGAUUUGUUGCAUUCCUUGAAGUGAAUGCAAACAUAAAGAAAAUAAAAGAUAUAAUCAUGGAUCACUAAAAGUGGGAACAUAGUAAUAAAUAAGAGAACAAUGAGAGUUNNNNNNNNNNNNNNNNNNNNNNNNNNNNNNNNNNNNNNNNNNNNNNNNNNNNNNNNNNNNNNNNNNNNNNNNNNNNNNNNNNNNNNNNNNNNNNNNNNNNNNNNNNNNNNNNNNNNNNNNNNNNNNNNNNNNNNNNNNNNNNNNNNNNNNNNNNNNNNNNNNNNNNNNNNNNNNNNNNNNNNNNNNNNNNNNNNNNNNNNNNNNNNNNNNNNNNNNNNNNNNNNNNNNNNNNNNNNNNNNNNNNNNNNNNNNNNNNNNNNNNNNNNNNNNNNNNNNNNNNNNNNNNNNNNNNNNNNNNNNNNNNNNNNNNNNNNNNNNNNNNNNNNNNNNNNNNNNNNNNNNNNNNNNNNNNNNNNNNNNNNNNNNNNNNNNNNNNNNNNNNNNNNNNNNNNNNNNNNNNNNNNNNNNNNNNNNNNNNNNNNNNNNNNNNNNNNNNNNNNNNNNNNNNNNNNNNNNNNNNNNNNNNNNNNNNNNNNNNNNNNNNNNNNNNNNNNNNNNNNNNNNNNNNNNNNNNNNNNNNNNNNNNNNNNNNNNNNNNNNNNNNNNNNNNNNNNNNNNNNNNNNNNNNNNNNNNNNNNNNNNNNNNNNNNNNNNNNNNNNNNNNNNNNNNNNNNNNNNNNNNNNNNNNNNNNNNNNNNNNNNNNNNNNNNNNNNNNNNNNNNNNNNNNNNNNNNNNNNNNNNNNNNNNNNNNNNNNNNNNNNNNNNNNNNNNNNNNNNNNNNNNNNNNNNNNNNNNNNNNNNNNNNNNNNNNNNNNNNNNNNNNNNNNNNNNNNNNNNNNNNNNNNNNNNNNNNNNNNNNNNNNNNNNNNNNNNNNNNNNNNNNNNNNNNNNNNNNNNNNNNNNNNNNNNNNNNNNNNNNNNNNNNNNNNNNNNNNNNNNNNNNNNNNNNNNNNNNNNNNNNNNNNNNNNNNNNNNNNNNNNNNNNNNNNNNNNNNNNNNNNNNNNNNNNNNNNNNNNNNNNNNNNNNNNNNNNNNNNNNNNNNNNNNNNNNNNNNNNNNNNNNNNNNNNNNNNNNNNNNNNNNNNNNNNNNNNNNNNNNNNNNNNNNNNNNNNNNNNNNNNNNNNNNNNNNNNNNNNNNNNNNNNNNNNNNNNNNNNNNNNNNNNNNNNNNNNNNNNNNNNNNNNNNNNNNNNNNNNNNNNNNNNNNNNNNNNNNNNNNNNNNNNNNNNNNNNNNNNNNNNNNNNNNNNNNNNNNNNNNNNNNNNNNNNNNNNNNNNNNNNNNNNNNNNNNNNNNNNNNNNNNNNNNNNNNNNNNNNNNNNNNNNNNNNNNNNNNNNNNNNNNNNNNNNNNNNNNNNNNNNNNNNNNNNNNNNNNNNNNNNNNNNNNNNNNNNNNNNNNNNNNNNNNNNNNNNNNNNNNNNNNNNNNNNNNNNNNNNNNNNNNNNNNNNNNNNNNNNNNNNNNNNNNNNNNNNNNNNNNNNNNNNNNNNNNNNNNNNNNNNNNNNNNNNNNNNNNNNNNNNNNNNNNNNNNNNNNNNNNNNNNNNNNNNNNNNNNNNNNNNNNNNNNNNNNNNNNNNNNNNNNNNNNNNNNNNNNNNNNNNNNNNNNNNNNNNNNNNNNNNNNNNNNNNNNNNNNNNNNNNNNNNNNNNNNNNNNNNNNNNNNNNNNNNNNNNNNNNNNNNNNNNNNNNNNNNNNNNNNNNNNNNNNNNNNNNNNNNNNNNNNNNNNNNNNNNNNNNNNNNNNNNNNNNNNNNNNNNNNNNNNNNNNNNNNNNNNNNNNNNNNNNNNNNNNNNNNNNNNNNNNNNNNNNNNNNNNNNNNNNNNNNNNNNNNNNNNNNNNNNNNNNNNNNNNNNNNNNNNNNNNNNNNNNNNNNNNNNNNNNNNNNNNNNNNNNNNNNNNNNNNNNNNNNNNNNNNNNNNNNNNNNNNNNNNNNNNNNNNNNNNNNNNNNNNNNNNNNNNNNNNNNNNNNNNNNNNNNNNNNNNNNNNNNNNNNNNNNNNNNNNNNNNNNNNNNNNNNNNNNNNGAAACCCCAGUUAAAGUGCGAGCAGGGUUCACAUAUGUUGAUAUCAAUGUUUUUUUGUUUAGUCUACAUAGGGUGAGUUUGGAUGAGCGGUGCGUUUAUCUGCGGUUAGUGUAGAAACAGUGGUGGUGAGAUUAGAUACUGUAGCGAUACUGUAGCGUGAGACAAAAAGUAAGCUAAACGCACCGCACCGCACCGCACGCAAUCGCCCAUCCAAACCCACCCUUAUUUGAGUUUACUUGUCAAAGCAAAUAGAGUUAGUAUUGAUUUGAUGUUUUUAAGUAUUGAUUUCUUAACUUAUUAAUGUAAUUCAUGUGAAUUGAAAGAUGACAAAUUUGAUAGCAGUUCAUAAAUUAGCCAAGUAUUUUUCCUUAUUUUCUCUCUUAUUUUGUUAUGCUCUCUCAACUUCUCGAAACACCAGCAGCAUCCUUGUCAUCAUUUUAAUAUAUCUUUAUAAACUUUAAAUAAUUAAAUAAAAUUUUUAUCAUUUAAAUAAAUUUUUUAUCAUUUUUGAGAUCAAAGUACAAUUUUACCCUUAUUAAUUUAAAAUUUUAUAAAGUAUAUCACAUUAGAUUACCAUUUAAAUCCUUUGUUAAGUUUGGCUAUAAAACUAAAGGCGCAUAUGGAUUCAGUGGUAAGAGAAGAAAAAAAGAGUGACUUGAUGGAGCUUGUAAUUCUUGUCCCAUGUUGUUUCUUCCUCGUAGCUUUACUAAAGUUCCUUUAUGAUUACCUGUGGGUACCUCUCCGUAUACAGCGUAUGAUGAAUUCACAGGGAAUCAAAGGACCUCCUUACAGAUUCAUCCAUGGAAACAGCAAGGAAGUUGCCAGAAUGGAACAAGAAGCAUUAAGCAAACGUAUGGCCUUAACAGAUGAUAUAUUUCCCAAAGUACUGCCACAUUUUUACACCUGGAUCAACAGAUAUGGUAAGAUCCAUGCAUGUUUUUUCAUUAUGAUUUAUAACUCGUAGUUCUAAGAAAAGAUUGACCUUUUUCUUUUCAAGUGAUUAGGGAGGAAUUUUGUUUAUUGGAACGGUGCGCGACCUGAAUUGGUGAUUNNNNNNNNNNNNNNNNNNNNNNNNNNNNNNNNNNNNNNNNNNNNNNNNNNNNNNNNNNNNNNNNNNNNNNNNNNNNNNNNNNNNNNNNNNNNNNNNNNNNAAUUAAUCAAAGACUUAUCUUCGAGCGAAAAAAAAAUUCAAGAAAAGAGCCUUUCAGAUAUUGGUAGGGAGUUCCUGGGGAAUGGGCUUCUAUUCAUUGCGGGGGAAAAAUGGGCAAACCAUCGAAAGCUAGCCAAUCACGCUUUCCAUGGGGAAAGCCUUAAGGUAAAUCCUCCAGUGUGAUUAAUUGACAAGAAUUAUACAGACUACAGAAUUUUGUAUUGUUGGCUAACAACCAGUUUAUAGUCGAAGUUGAAAGUAUUCGUAGAAAAGUAUUUUUUUAACCUCAAUAGUAAGCAAAGUCUAAAUAGUAUGUGGCAACUACUUAUAUAUUGAAGGAUUGUUUGGGCAGAACAUGACUCCAGCAAUAAUUGCUAGUGUUGAAACAAUGCUAGAAAAGUGGAAAGGUCAAGAAGGCAGAGAGAUUGAAGUGUUGAAAGAAUUUAGGUUAUUGACUUCAGAAGUGAUUUCCAGAACAGCUUUUGGUAGCAGUUACUUAGAAGGGGAGAAGAUUUUUGCCAUGUUACAGAAGUUGACAAUAAUUAUGAGUCGAAAUCUUUUUAAGACUAGAAUUCCUUUGAUCAGGUAUCUUCCCUAUAAGCUUAAUUAAUCCCAACUUUUACCUUGAUUUCAGCUAGCUUUUGAAUGCAACUUUUGGACUUUCAUUCCCCAUGGAUUUGGUUUUCUCCUUACAUAUAGCUGACCAUUGUUUGCUUUUGCAGCAAGUUGUGGAAAUCUGCUGAUUUGCUAGAGUCUGAAAAACUUUCAAAAGAAAUAAAAGAUCGUGUGAUGAAGAUUGUUAAGAAAAGAGAAGACGAAGCUGUGAAUGGAGAAGUCAAUAGCUUUGGCAAUGAUUUUCUUGGAUUACUUGUAAAUGCCUAUCAUGAUUCGGACGAGAAAAACAGGUUUUCAUUGGAAGACUUGUUAGCUGAAUGCAAAACAUUCUAUUUUUCUGGACAAGAAACUGUUAAUUCCUUACUUUCAUGGAUAGUCUUGCAUUUGGCAAUCCACGGAGAUUGGCAAGAAAAAGCGAGAAGAGAGGUGAUUGACAUAUUUGGUAACCAAAAUCCGCAUCUCGAAGGCGUCGCCAAACUCAAAAUAGUAAGAAAACUAUCUAACUGGGAAUUCAAAUAGCCAUCAACAUGAUGUAAUCUAACAUAUUUUUCUAUUUUCCAAACAGACGACCAUGAUCAUCAAUGAAACUCUAAGAUUGUAUGGUCCAUCAAAUGGCCUGGCAAGAGCAGUUACAAGAGAUGUUCAGUUGGAAAAGCUACUCUUGCCUGCUAAUAUAAAUAUUCUGCCUUUAUAUAUUGGAGUUCACCGUGACCCUCACUUUUGGGGAGAUGAUGUGCAUCAUUUUAAACCCGAGAGAUUCGCUGAAGGGAUUGCCAAAGCUACCAAUUACACCGCGGCUGCAUUUCUUCCCUUCGGGUUGGGACCUCGAUCUUGUGUUGGUAUGACAUUUGCAACAAUAGAAACCAAGAUUGUUCUCUCCAUGAUUCUACAACGUUACACCAUUACCCUCUCCCCUGCCUAUAUCCACUCUCCGAUAUCUAUUCUCAGCAUUAGACCACAACAUGAAAUUCAGGUGAUACUUGAACCACUGCAUCAUAAUGCUUGAAGUACAUAGCUGUUAAGAACUAAGGGUUUAACGUGGUUCAUGUAUUUUAGGUUUAAGAGAUGACAUUUAAUAUGUUUAAGGUUCCAGCAUUUGCAUCCCCUUCCCUAUCCUAAGCUAUACCCACCUUUAUACAUAAUGAAAUUCAAAUAGCUACUGAUUUCCAAGGUGGUAAAACGCAAUCAAUAAAGAAGAAUAUGUUGAGGCAAGUUUUGGGAGCAGUGACUUGAAAAAUGACAACUGCAC
rnacentral:lncRNA from 1 species